UCAGACGAAUUCAAGUUGGUCAAGAAAGCCAAGUCGAGUAGUAAAUUGAGUCAAAAAUAAGUUGAGUAUUCAUAUAAUGCUCCUGGCGGACAAGAAAUCCUGUAAGCUGGAUUUAGAUCCAGUACUGAGCUUGGCUGUGCUCAUCUCUUCAUAAUCAUCUACCACACAUGCAUGGAUAGCAAUUUUAGGUGAAGAUUUAAUUAAUUUUAUAUUCUUAUUGUUGAGAAGUCAAUAUUAGCCCAAAUAAGUCCACACCUAAAUUAAUUUGAUGUCAUUGCUUACAUCAAUUUAGUUAGGUGAAAAUUAGGUAUUUUUCCCAUGUUUAAUUUCAAUGGUUUAAAUUAGUUUGUGGUUAUUUUAAUGAGUGGUUUAGAUUGUUUCUUGUAACCUAUAAAUACCUCAUUUGUAUUUGAGUUUUAUUAUUCAACAAUAAAAAGCUUUAUUAUAAGCAUUUGAAAGCUUUCUUAAGAGUUCUUCUCUUUUUGCAAUUUUGUGAGAUUAUUCUAAAGAGAGUUUUUCUUCUUCUUGAUCAAUUAGAGUUUUUACUCUAUUUUGAUUCAACAUUUGGUAUCAGAGCAUUGGUUGUAAAGUCUCUUGAAAUUCCGAGUAUGCUCUGUGGUUGCAGUUUUGACUGAUCUUCCACAUCAGAAAAGAUUUCUUGAGAUUAUUGCUGGGGUUAUCACAAACCUUGAGAGGGAGCUUCUUUGUGUCAAGAGUAGUGUAUUAUUCUGCACGGUAGUCACUCAAGAUUGUUCGGUGUAGUCAAAGUCUUGUCGAUACGAUGGGUGAUCUUCAAGUUGUUGGAGGAAUCAAGAAGCUCAACAACCAAAACUAUAACACGUGGGCAACGUGUAUAGAGUCUUACCUUCAAGGUCAAGACUUGUGGGAGGUUGUCGGUGGUAGUGAAGUUACACAACCGGCAGCGGAAGAUGCUAACGGCGUCUUGCGGAAGUGGAAAAUUAAAGCAGGCAAAGCAAUGUUUGCUUUAAAGACCACAAUAGAAGAAGAAAUGUUGGAGCACAUUCGGGAUGCUAAAUCACCGAAGGAAGCGUGGGACACCUUCACUACACUCUUUUCGAAGAGGAACGAUACAAAAUUGCAACUUCUCGAGAAUGAACUUCUAUCAAUGGCGCAACGCGACAUGGCGAUUGCCCAAUACUUUCACAAGGUGAAGUCGAUAUGCCGCGAAAUUUCAGAAUUAGAUCCGACAGCCGCUAUUGGGGAAGCCAGGAUAAAAAGAAUAAUUGUCCAUGGCUUGAGACCCGAAUACCGAAGCUUUGUAGCCGCUGUACAAGGAUGGCCGACACAACCAUCACUUGUUGAGUUUGAAAAUUUGCUGACAGGCCAAGAAGCUAUGGCCAAGAAAAUUGGAGGAGUCUCACUAAAGGGUGAAGAAGAAGCGCUUUACACCAACCAAAGCAGAGGUGGUUUAAGACAGCACAACAAAGGCGGAUCUAGAAAGACUAGUGAACAGACAAAAAGUCAUCAGGGAGGGAAUGGCUCUCGUCUAGGGGGAGCUUCGAAGAAUCGCGACAGUAAUAGAAAGUUCAUUGUUGAAUGUUACAAUUGCGGGAAGAAGGGCCACAUGAAGAGAGAUUGUUGGUCCAAAAGAAGUCUACCGAAAGCAAUAUUGUUACUUCUAGUUCUAAAGAAGAUAGUGAAGAUAGCUGGGAUGCCGAAGCAUUACUCGCUAUGGAGGAAGAAGAAUUAGCUCUCACGGUAACAACACCAGAAAAGAUUAACUACGAGAAUGAUUGGAUCGUAGACUCAGGCUGCUCAAAUCACAUGACGGGUGAUAGACAGAAGUUGCAAAACUGUUCUGAGUACAAGGGAAAUCGUGUGGUGGUAACAGCUGACAACUCAAGGUUACCGAUAGCUCACAUCGGUAAAGCGAUCGUUACACCUCGAUAUAGUCCCAACCAAGUGCCACUUCAAGAUGUCUACCAUGUUCCAGGAAUGAAGAAAAAUUUGCUAUCCGUAGCUCAAUUGACAUCAUUAGGGCACUAUGUCUUGUUUGGUCCACAAAAUGUGAAGGUAUUCCGAGACCUAAAGAUCUCAGAAAAGCCUACGAUGGAGGGACGGCGAUUGGAGUCAGUUUAUGUGAUGUCAGCUGAGUCUGCAUACGUAGACAAGACAAGAAGGAAUGAGACGGCAGAUCUAUGGCACAUGCGGCUAGGUCAUGUUAGUUAUUCCAAGCUAAGUGUGAUGGUGAAGAAGUCGAUGCUUAAGGGACUUCCUCAACUUGACGUGAGAACAAAUACUGUUUGCGCGGGAUGUCAAUAUGGUAAAGCACAUCAAUUGCCAUACGAGGAGUCGAAGUUUAAAGCAAAGAAACCAUUAGAGUUAAUUCACUCUGAUGUGUUUGGACCCGUUAAGCAACCAUCAAUUGGCGGAAUGCGGUAUAUGGUUACGUUCAUUGAUGAUUUCUCCAGAUAUGUAUGGGCUUUCUUCAUGAAAGAAAAAUCUGAAGCAUUCUCAAAGUUCAAAGAGUUCAAAGAGAUAGUCGAAGGAGAAGUGGAGCAAAAGAUUCGUUGCUUGCGCACAGACAACGGGGGUGAGUAUAGCUCGAGAGAGUUUUCUCAAUACCUACGGGAAUGCCAAAUACGUCAUCAGUAUACUUGUGCCAAUACGCCACAACAAAAUGGUGUAGCAGAGAGGAAGAAUCGGCACCUUGCUGAAAUUUGCCGGAGUAUGCUACAUGCGAAGAAUGUACCUGGAAUAUUUUGGGCCGAAGGUAUGAGAACUGCAGCUCAUGUCAUCAACAAGCUUCCUCAACCAAGGUUGGAGUUUGUUUCACCCUUUGAGAAAUUGUGGAACAAGAAACCUAUAGUUAGCUAUCUUCGAGUAUUCGGCUGUGUAUGCUAUGUAUUUGUUCCUGACCAUCUACGUAGCAAGAUCGAUAAGAAAGCAGUCAGAUGUAUCUUUGUGGGAUACGACAAUCAGCGAAAAGGGUGGAAGUGUUGUGAUCCAGUAGAUGGAAGGUGCUACACAUCACGAGAUGUGGUGUUUGAUGAAGCAUCCUCAUGGUGGACCUCAGAAAAAGAAGUGCUGCCAGACUCGAAAGAAUUCGAAGACAUGCUACAACAAAAGAUGGGGGAGCAUACUGUCCAAAUUCAUCUAAGCUCAGCUGGGGAUCUAUGCGAUAGUGAUAGCGAACGAAGAGUAACUCUAAAUCCUUGGCAAUCUGGGGUGUAUCGACAACCAGAUGAAGAAGGUGUGCCUAGUGAAACNNNNNNNNNNNNNNNNNNNNNNNNNNNNNNNNNNNNNNNNNNNNNNNNNNNNNNNNNNNNNNNNNNNNNNNNNNNNNNNNNNNNNNNNNNNNNNNNNNNNNNNNNNNNNNNNNNNNNNNNNNNNNNNNNNNNNNNNNNNNNNNNNNNNNNNNNNNNNNNNNNNNNNNNNNNNNNNNNNNNNNNNNNNNNNNNNNNNNNNNNNNNNNNNNNNNNNNNNNNNNNNNNNNNNNNNNNNNNNNNNNNNNNNNNNNNNNNNNNNNNNNNNNNNNNNNNNNNNNNNNNNNNNNNNNNNNNNNNNNNNNNNNNNNNNNNNNNNNNNNNNNNNNNNNNNNNNNNNNNNNNNNNNNNNNNNNNNNNNNNNNNNNNNNNNNNNNNNNNNNNNNNNNNNNNNNNNNNNNNNNNNNNNNNNNNNNNNNNNNNNNNNNNNNNNNNNNNNNNNNNNNNNNNNNNNNNNNNNNNNNNNNNNNNNNNNNNNNNNNNNNNNNNNNNNNNNNNNNNNNNNNNNNNNNNNNNNNNNNNNNNNNNNNNNNNNNNNNNNNNNNNNNNNNNNNNNNNNNNNNNNNNNNNNNNNNNNNNNNNNNNNNNNNNNNNNNNNNNNNNNNNNNNNNNNNNNNNNNNNNNNNNNNNNNNNNNNNNNNNNNNNNNNNNNNNNNNNNNNNNNNNNNNNNNNNNNNNNNNNNNNNNNNNNNNNNNNNNNNNNNNNNNNNNNNNNNNNNNNNNNNNNNNNNNNNNNNNNNNNNNNNNNNNNNNNNNNNNNNNNNNNNNNNNNNNNNNNNNNNNNNNNNNNNNNNNNNNNNNNNNNNNNNNNNNNNNNNNNNNNNNNNNNNNNNNNNNNNNNNNNNNNNNNNNNNNNNNNNNNNNNNNNNNNNNNNNNNNNNNNNNNNNNNNNNNNNNNNNNNNNNNNNNNNNNNNNNNNNNNNNNNNNNNNNNNNNNNNNNNNNNNNNNNNNNNNNNNNNNNNNNNNNNNNNNNNNNNNNNNNNNNNNNNNNNNNNNNNNNNNNNNNNNNNNNNNNNNNNNNNNNNNNNNNNNNNNNNNNNNNNNNNNNNNNNNNNNNNNNNNNNNNNNNNNNNNNNNNNNNNNNNNNNNNNNNNNNNNNNNNNNNNNNNNNNNNNNNNNNNNNNNNNNNGCUGUGUAUGCUAUGUAUUUGUUCCUGACCAUCUACGUAGCAAGAUCGAUAAGAAAGCAGUCAGAUGUAUCUUUGUGGGAUACGACAAUCAGCGAAAAGGGUGGAAGUGUUGUGAUCCAGUAAAUGGAAGGUGCUACACAUCACGAGAUGUGGUGUUUGAUGAAGCAUCCUCAUGGUGGACCUCAGAAAAAGAAGUACUGCCAGACUCGAAAGAAUUCGGAGACAUGCUACAACAAAAGAUGGAGGAGCAUACUGUCCAAAUUCAUCUAAGCUCAGCUGGAGAUCUAUGCGAUAGUGAUAGCGAACGAAGAGUAACUCUAAAUCCUUGGCAAUCUGGGGUGUAUCGACAACCAGAUGAAGAAGGUGUGCCUAGUGAAACAGAAGAAUCAACUCCAUUACGAAGGUCAACAAGAACCCGAAGGCCAAAUCCCAAAUACGCUAAUGCAGCCAUAGUUGAAGAAGCAACUGGAAUAGAACCUGAGACGUUCGAAGAAGCGUCACAGAGUUCUGAGUGGAUGACAGCUAUGAAAGACGAGAUCACUGCACUUGAGCAAAAUCAGACCUGGGAACUCGUGCCAAAGCCAAAAGAUGUGAAACCCAUAUCCUGCAGAUGGGUUUACAAAAUAAAGCACCGUCCAGAUGGGUCAAUCGAGAGGUACAAGGCUCGAUUGGUAGCUCGUGGUUUCUCUCAACAAUAUGGACUAGAUUAUGACGAAACGUUUAGUCCAGUGGCAAAACUUACAACCGUCCGAGUCUUACUUGCACUUGCAGCCAACAAAAGCUGGAACUUGUGGCAGAUGGACGUGAAGAAUGCCUUUCUCCAUGGAGAGCUGGAUAGAGAGAUCUACAUGAUUCAACCGAUGGGUUUCCAGAACCGAGGUCAUCCUGAGUAUGUGUGUAAGCUGCGAAAGGCUCUUUACGGACUAAAACAAGCACCCAGGGCGUGGUAUGGCAAGAUUGCUGAAUUUCUAACUCAAAGUGGGUAUUCAGUAACAUCUGCAGACUCCAGCUUGUUUGCUAAAGCUAAUGGAGAAAGGAUAGCUAUUGUGCUCGUGUACGUAGAUGAUCUAAUCAUCACUGGAGAUGAUGUUGAAGAAAUUUUCCGAACAAAGGAGAACUUGUCAGUUCGUUUUCAAAUGAAAGAACUUGGACAACUUAAGCAUUUCCUUGGGCUAGAGGUUGAUCAGACGAAAGAAGGGAUAUUUCUUUGUCAACAGAAAUAUGCCAAAGAUUUGUUGAAGAAGUUUGGGAUGCUAGAAUGUAAGUCGAUCUCAACGCCGAUGGAACCAAAUGCCAAGAUGUAUGCACAUGAAGGCAAAGACCUGGAAGAUGCAUCGAUGUAUCGACAAUUAGUGGGUAGUCUAAUCUACUUAACCUUGACUCGACCUGACAUUUCUUAUGCAGUUGGCGUGAUGAGUCGAUACAUGCAAAAUCCGAAGAAGUCUCAUUUAGAAGCGGUUCGGCGAGUACUCAGAUAUGUGAAGAGUACAAUAGACUAUGGUCUUCUAUACAAGAAAGGUGGAAAUUGCAAACUAGUUGGCUACUGUGAUGCUGACUAUGCAGGAGAUCACGAUACUCGCAGAUCAACUACUGGGUAUAUGUUUACCCUUGGAUCUGGAACGAUUUCUUGGUGUAGCAAGAGACAACCGACUGUGUCCAUGUCAACUACGGAAGCAGAGUAUCGAGCAGCAGCAAUGGCAGCUCAAGAAAGCACGUGGCUGAUACAACUAAUGAAUAAUCUACAUCAACCAAUAGAUUAUACAGUUCUGUUGUACUGUGACAACCAAUCGGCAAUUCGGCUAGCGGAGAAUCCUGUUUUUCAUGCAAGAACUAAACAUGUGGAAGUGCAUUACCACUUUGUUAGGGAAAAAGUUCUGCAAGAAGAGAUUGAGAUGAGGCAAGUUAAGACAGAUGAACAAACUGCUGACUUGUUUACAAAAAGCUUGAGUGUUGGAAAGUUUGAACAUUUCCGUCGUCAGCUUGGCGUGAUUCAAAGAAUGGGGGCUAACAUUGAGGGGGAGUGUUGAGAAGUCAAUAUUAGCCCAAAUAAGUCCACACCUAAAUUAAUUUGAUGUCAUUGCUUACAUCAAUUUAGUUAGGUGAAAAUUAGGUAUUUUUCCCAUGUUUAAUUUCAAUGGUGAAGUCAAUAUUAGCCAAAUAAGUCCACACCUAAAUUAAUUUGAUGUCAUUGCUUACAUCAAUUUAGUUAGGUGAAAAUUAGGUAUUUUUCCCAUGUUUAAUUUCAAUGGUUUAAAUUAGUUUGUGGUUAUUUUAAUGAGUGGUUUAGAUUGUUUCUUGUAAUCUAUAAAUACCUCAUUUGUAUUUGAGUUUUAUAAUUCAACAAUCAAAGCUUUAUUAUAAGCAUUUGAAAGUUUUCUUUAGAGUUCUUCUCUUUUGCAAUUUUGUGAGAUUAUUCUAAAGAGAGUUUUUCUUCUUCUUGAUCAAUUAGAGUUUUUACUCUAUUUUGAUUCAACACUUAUCUUUCUAAAAGAUUAACAAAAAUCUCAGCUCAGCGCUGAAUAAAAAUUCCUGUAAACUAGGAACAUAAAACUCAAUAAUGACAUGGAAAGCUUAUAUUCAAAUUCAAUUGUAUUCAUGAUAUGAUUAUUUCAAACAACCAACCAAAAAUACUUAAAACAAAAACCCAAUUGUGAAACUAAAAAAACCCAACUCUCAUAUUCUCCGAAGAAUGCACUAAAUUAAUUAAUUAAAUUUUUUAAAAAAGAAACAAACCUAAAUUCAGGUACGAGGCAAAAAGAUUGGGGAAAAAAAAGAAAGAAUAGGAAAGGAAAUGAACCUUGGGAGUCCAAAGCGUGUCGCUUGAAGCGACGCCGUUCCAAGCACGGGAUACAAGGAGAGUCAGUGCUACGCUGUGUGCUUUUAGGUUUUGAAGUAUCAUCAACAUUAUGUCUCUACCAAAAGCAUCCAGUGCGUCCUGCAAUAAUUCUUCAGUUUCUUCUUCUUUUAGUUUUUCUUUUCUUUCCUCUCGCUUUCUCUCCUUUAUCAGUUUCAUCUUCGUCUUCUUCUUCUUCAGUAAAACGACAUCAUUUUCCUGUUCUUCUCUUUUUCGCAGUUCCAUUCUGUGUGGUAGCAGCUAUUACUACAGAGCAAGCGAAUGAAAGGAAUGACCAGAAGCUGCGAAAAAUGAGGUAAUUGUAAUAACUCCGAAAAACAUCAAAAUAUAAAAAUAUGUUAAUGCUAAAGGACCUGUCUAUGGUACAGGUUCUGUAACAAACAUCUCCCGUCAUCCCACCAUCCGAUUUUCUAUUGUUUAGUUUCUCACUCCACAUCCAACCACAUCCAACGGCUGAUGCUGCAGUCUGUACCUUACAGAUUCUGUAAGCUAGUCGAGUCCAAUGCUAAAAUGCCCAUAUUUAAUUUUUUUAAAAUCAUUUACAGUAUGUAGAAAUAUACGACCGACAAAUUUAUUAUUUUUUAAAUAUAAUAAAUUUUACGUGGCUCAAACUCAUUCUCUCGUAGAUAUUAUUGAACUACAGGCCUACAAGUUAAAAAGUUAAUACUUUUUUACUUAUUAUUUUAUUCAAUUUUUUUAUCACUUGAUUUAUUAUUCAACUUUAUUAUGAAGAUUGAUAAUAAAGUUGAGAAUAUUUUUUAUUUACGAUAUUUUAACCUUUUUAGAGUAUGAUUAUGUAAAACGAGCGGUCGGGGGUGUUAUCGGUAUUAUAAAAGAAAUAAAUAUCUAUUUAAAAAAAAAAAGCGGUGGGAGGUCACGUGGUUUAGAUACUGUUCUGUAAUGAUGAUAGUUAAUACUGGUCCGAUAAUGCAUUCUUGCCACGAGCCCCAGAGCAAAGUCAUCCUUCAAUUGAAGGACGAAAAUCGGGCGUUUGGGCUCUGGCUCAAAUACGUGGCAAGAUGCUGAGUGAUUGCUUGGCAAAACAACAAGUUGAUGACUUGGUUGUUUAUUGUGAUAUUAGAGGUGGCAAAACCGAUGACAAAGUGGUUUUCGUGCCAUGUAAAAUUUAGAGUGAUUUAGAUAUUUAUUUAAUAAUUAUGUUAAAAUAUUAAAAUAUUUAUUUAAUAAUUAUGUUAAAAUAUUAAAAUUUUAAGUUUGAUAUGAAAAAUAACAAUUGACACAACGUAACUUAUUAAUUAAUAAUUGUGUCGCGAGAUACCUUAUAAUCUAUUUAAUUAACACUCAUUUAACAUGAUUUAUAUCAAUCAUUUUUGCUCCUAUUUAAUAAAAAUUUUACAAUUUUUAUAUAUCUAAAUAGUAUUAUAUAUUGAUAUCAUAAAAAAUAUACAUAUUUAUUGAUAUAUUACAUAUUUACACCAUUCAGGUUUUAAAAGCAUCUAGAAUUUUAUGAAAUGGAACACCACAUAAAUGUUUAUCCUUCGUAAGUAAUUGUUUCGUUAACUGAGUAGAUAGGUCAAGAAUAUAGGAUAACGAUUCUCUCUUGAUCUGAUCUCCUCCUGAGAAAAAAUACAUGUAGGUGAUUGGUAGUUAAUAAAUUAAAAAAUUAAAAAAUUAAAUUCUACCCAUACACUAUUACUUAAAGACAAAUGGAACAAGAUUUUUAAAAGCUCAUGAGAGCUCAGAUCAGGAGAGGAUCUUUAUCCCAAGAAUAUAAACCUAACUCGAGAAGCCAAAAAAUUGUGUUAAAAAGGGUACGGCCUAUUUAAUUAUCGUGUCAAAUUUAAUAAUCUAAAUCUACUUUUUUGUGUUGUGUUCAUGUUUGCUAAAUGGAUUGUAUCAAAUUUUGUUAGUACUAUUUAUAGUAUAUUAGAUAUUUAAAUAAGAUUUGCUUCUAAAACGAGAAUUAUAAAGUUCAGGUGUCUAUUACAUAUGUGUCAUGUAAGGCACCGUCCGACGCAAUGUAGCUGGACCCGUCAUGUAAAUAUAUUAAUCUUUCUAGCAUAUCUCUCUUCUCCCCCCUCUUACUUGUAUAAAAAGAAUUAAUGUCGUUAAUACCAACAGGUGAAUACAAAUGUGCCAAAAAAAAUUUCUUUAUUUUUUCAUAGAGAUAUAAUUUCAUUCCAACAAUAACAUAAUAGUAUAACAACUAGUCCAUAACAGACUUGGAGAUCAAUCUAUAGAUAAUCUGAUAGAAUAAAUAGUUGAACAAACUUUUUACUUUCAUAGUUCACACUAACGAAUAAUGAGAACACAAUGCAUCAGAGACUCUAUUAAAGAGCAUCUCUUAAUCAUGCAUCCAACAUGCUCAAGCUCUAUCGGGAACAUCUCCAAUACCAUGUCUAGAUCAAGUAGUAUGUAUAGUUUCAGGUUUAUGUGCUUUUUUUUUUUUUUUUUCGAUUCCACCCUAUGUGGUGGUUGUGUUCAUUUGGUUGUGUUUCGUGUUGCUGAUGUGUUCAUCUUUCAGAUUUUGUACUUGAAUGGGUAAGAUUUGGCAAAUAGGUGACCAUGAAUCAUUUUCUAAUGUGGAUUUGUUACAUUGCUGGUUGUAUUUUGAACCUAAAUUAAAUCUAUUUAAUUAGUCUUCUGGGAGUAAAUUUAUGAUUUACCUAGCAAGAACAAAAAUUCCUUAGCGACAUCUAAAUUGAUCGUGUACAUAUUAAAAGGAUGUGUAUAAAUCAUUACAUGAUACUUUAGUAUGCUGAUAUUUUUCCUAGCACGUCAGUAUGAGAAAUCAAUUAUUUGUUUAUCUGUUGACUGCAAUGAAUUUAUCUGUACAUUAGUGACACACACACACACAUAUAUAUGUAAUCAUUUUCAGGUGUGGAUGCCUUCAUUUGUUUUAAUGCGAACACGGUUUUAAGCUAUGCGGUUUUAUAACGUUAUGCACUAACUUUAUUGAACUACGCCCGUACUAAAGAAGGAUUAUAUAUAUGUGUAAUAUAUAUACGUAUACAUAAAGUUCAUGCAAACUAAGGUUUUUAUUUAAGCAAUUCACAUUUUAACAAUAAAUGCUCUUCACUCUUGUUUGCUGGUGUAAUUGGAUGGAUGGUUUUGCUUCAAUAUUCUCUGUCUCGCUCUUUCGUUUAUAGUUUUUACCAACUAAUUGAGAGGAAACAAAAACUGUUUGCCGAACGGCCGAACAUGUCCACCGUAUAUAUACUGGGAUCUGUGUAAGUUACAUAAGUAUUAACAACUGAUCGUGUUUUUAAUUACUUUUGUUUAUUAAUAACUUGUAAUGAGAAAUCUAAUUGCACUGAUAAUUUGAGUAAAUUUCAUAUAUUUUCUUUACAUUUUAAAAGUGAAAAACUAAUUUAACACUAUUGGACCAAAAAUAUUAUGGGUCCAACUAAAAUUCAAAUAAAUAUUGUCUAAACAAAGCCGAAGAUGAGUUCUUAGGAUCCAAAGAGAACACAUAUUUAAAAUAUGUGAUUCUUCCUGUUUUUUCGUUUGGUCGAGCUUUCUCAUUGGAAAGUUAUGCUAUAUCUUGAAAGUAUUUGGCAAACCCAGCAGUACUUCAUUCUUGAAGCACACAAGCAGGGGUCCUGUACCACCAACGUAUGAUUUACUCGUGACUAGUCAAGGGAAUAGUACAUGAGUGAGUGCCUGAAUUAUGAGCCUUGCCUUACAGAUAGACAAAUUAUAAUCAUGAGUUUUGUUCCUCAGGGUUUUGAAAUCUCAUUACCAAGGGUACAAGUGAUCAAACUUUUAACCCGUCAAAACAUUAACGUAUAAGUAUUAUACGUUCGCUUUUCAAGCUCAUGCAAGUUCCAGUAAUUUGGCACUACAUCAAUGGGCAGACUGAAAUCAAGAGGUGAGUCUCCACUCACCAGACUCUCUUAAUAAUGUAUAACAAGCACCAUACUAAAAUUAGAUACCUUAUUAAAAUGAAACUCCCAAACAUGAUCACAAAGGUCUUCUUUUGUGAUAUGAGUCUACUAGAAUCAUUAAUUGAUCAAAAUUGUAUAAAGGUUGUAUAAAGGUUUAAAAAAAAGAAAUAUCUCAUUAAUUGAUCAAAAUUACUAAGUUCAUCUAUUAGUCAAAAUUAGAAUGAUAAAAAAUCAUUAAAUAAUAAAUAUUCUUAAUUUAUCUGUUAUUGUUUAUAGUAGUUGUAGUACAUAUAUUAAUUAAAAUUUAUUAUGACCGUAAUUUUCAAUAUUUCACAAAUCCCCCUCUCUGUUUCUUUUCUUUUAUUGUGCGUUUUGGUUAUUUUUUAGGGAGAUAGGCCCCCUGAUGCGACUUACAAUUACAGGUGACAUGUCUAAUCUUGCUCACAAUUAGUAGAGACUAGAGAGUCUACGGUCAAAAUUCUUUUUUUUUUUUUAAAAAAAAAGAGUAAUUUGAUUUUUCAGCCACUUUCCUUUUUUGUUAUCAACUAGUCAUAACUCACAAGCGUGACAAUCACUAAAUUCAGGGUGUGUUUGGAAUUGAUGUUGGACAGAUAUAACUUAAAAGUUAUAACAGUAAAGUAUUUGGUAAACACUAUCUGUUGUAACCUGAAAGUUAUGUUAAUAUGAUUUUUCACUUAUAUAAUAGAGAAUCUAUUAUAUCUUCAAUAAUUUUGUCAAAAUUAUUAUUUAAAAUUAAUAUUUAUUACAUAUUAUUAAUUUUUGUUUCAUAGUUACAACUUUUUUUUCACAGCAAUUGUAGCUUAAAAGUUACAACACCUCAAUUCCAAACACACCCCGAAAGUGACUUCCUCACAGCCGGCAACUAUCCACUUGCCAUUAGUUGAAUGCGGGAGUGGAAUCGUGUCUUUUGAAAGUUAAAAUAAAGUUAGAAGGAAACAAAUUGUCAAUGUGGGUUCUUAGAUCAAUUUUAGGACAACCACAUGAUUUUGUUGAUGGAAUAAAUGUCAUUAACGUGUUUAUUUUUUAGAUUUAGAAAAAAUAUCAUGUGUUUAUUUUGGGAUUUAAAAAAAAAAGAAGAAUGAGAAUUAUUAAUAAUAUUUACUUGCUAAAAAUACAAAGAAAUAUAAAUAAAUUUUAAGUGAGUCUCAUAAAUUUAGGAAUGAGUAAGAAUUUCAUUUAGAUGGAAGAGGCGGGAAUAAGAAUGGAGAAAUGAGAAUAAAGAGUAAAAAUCGUUCAUCUUUAUUGAAAAUUACAACUUUCUUUUUACUCCAUUUUGGUAACUUACAAUCAUCUAUUCUAAUUUUAAAAUAAAGUAAACACAUCAAGUUUGGAAUACUGUUGAUUUUGAUCUCGGUUCUUGCAGUUGAAAUAAACAAUUUAUUCUUCUACAUUUUGAUUCCAAUUCAUUUUUAUUCCAAUUCAUUUUUAUUCUUGCCUAUUAGGAUUCAUAGUUAAUAAAUGCACUACUAAUAUAUUGUCAAAGAGACUCUAUUUUUUAGUUUCAUUCUAAUUCAUCUCAAAUCUCUCUCAUAUUGAAUACUUUGUUGAAAUUUAUUAAAGAUAUUUAAAAAAAAAUUUAUCGACAACUCUAGCUGCCAUCUAUAUAAAUAUAUUAAUUUUUUUUCUAAUUAGUGCUUCUUAAAAAGAAUCUACCUCAGCCAACCCAAUCAAUUUUUUCUCCCUCAGCCUUCCAUAGGAUUUGAAUUCGGGUAAUUAAUAAAGUAAAAUUACUUAAAAAUCACUCGGCUAAGUCUUUGAGGUAGUUUAAUCUUAGAUAAAUAUUAAGGACUUAUCAAUUAUCCUAUUAAAAUUAGUAUGUAUAAGCAUAUGGCUAAGGCAAACCAAAUCAAGUACAGUUGACGUUAUAUGUGAUAGAUUAAAUGAUUUAUAGAAGUGAGUCAUCUGUGAUAUAUAUCAUACAACCUAAUUCAUUUGAAUUUGUGAAUAUUGAAUUUGAAAGCAUAUAUUUUGGUAGUCUAUUUUAGAGUAAUUAAUUUUAAUUAAAAAUAACUGUUAUAGUAUUAUCUCAAAACGUCACCUAAAUUGUAAUUUUAAUUGAUAAAAUCUCACGACUAAGGUUAAGAGAUUUAGAGAUUUUACCUAAAAGUAUAAUGGUAGGUAUUGGCGUUUGCCUUGCCCGCUUUAUCAUGGUCCAAAAAUCGCCUUUUGGGCCAUGGAGCGGCUCAUGUGCUUGCUUUGCACAAUCUCUAGGAAUCCAAACUUGAUUUUGUUUUUGGUUUACACAUAUUUCCAUGGAAUUCGGCAGAGAGCAGAUGAUUAGGCUAAUUCGGAGUUGGAAUUCCUUUCUGUUCAGUAGUGGGACCAAACAGGGAGGGAGAACGGGCUGAGCUUGGACAAGCCCAGGCUCAAGUCUGAGCUCAUAAAAGCCCUUCCAAAUUUGGAGGGGCUGAACAGAAGUUGGCCCAUCAUGUGUUUGAGCUUCCUCAACCAUUUCAUUUAGAGAGUGCCUAAGUUACAUCUAUUGUAACUUAUUGCUUUUGUCUUAUUUCCUUUUGGCUAAUAUCAUAUAGAUCCUUUAAUUUUUUUCUAUUUCCAAUUUUUAUAGUUAUGGAUGCAUUUGUCUUCUUCCAUCUCUCAUACAUCUAUUUUUUAUUCUUUCUAGGAUUUUAUUUAUUUCCUUGAACAAUAACAAAUGAUUGUCAAAUUCAUAUAAGUCUACAAAUUCAUAAUAGACAUCUGGUUCUAAAUUUAUUAUUCCUAUCCUUUCUUGUUCUAAUAAAUCUAUUUUUUGGUUUAUUAAAUUUAUAUAUGUAUUUACUAUGUUUUCCCAUCCUAAAAACAAAUGAUCUAUACUACUUGCCAAUUCUUGUAUUGUAUUAACAGCUUGAUUCAUAGCGUUUCUAUUUUAUACCAAUAUAUUAAAAAUUUUAUAAAUUCAUCUAUAAAUUUUAUUUUCUUUUCUAUUAAAAUUUCACCACCUACUGUAUCUAUAAAUCUUUCUCUAAACUCCUGGGUUAGUUCAAGUUCUAUAUUUCUUAUAUUAUUUUUAUCAGUUUUAAUUGCUUUUAUUAAAUUUUUUAUAUCUUCUUUAUCAUAUACCUUUAAUGUAUGCAAACUGUCUACUAUAGUUCUUAUAGGAUCCAUGGAGUCCGUGGCUCUGAUACCAUUUCGUCGUUAUUAAAAUUUAAAUCAAAUAAUCAAAAUUUCAAAAUUACUAAAUUUACAAAAUUACAAAAUUAAUUCGUGCGUUAUUAAAAUUACAAAAUUAACUUACUAAUGCGAAGAAUGAUUCAUAUGAAUAAAUAAACACAUAUGAUCAACAAAUUAUUGUUCAUUCAGAAACAUAGAGAACAUAUAUUUUUAUGUAACUUAAAUAUUAAUAAUAGAAAAGUGCGUGGCGUUGUUACACCCCUAGGUACAGCUAUUAAAAUAGCACUUUGGACCAAUAGCCCGCAACCCAAAGAGGUUUCCAGCCUAUAUACUUUUCAUAUUUCUUAAGUUAUAUUUCAAAUUCUUCAUUAUCUGAAUUAUAGGUAUAUGAAGGUCCAGCUUCAUAAUCUUUAUGUUUCAAAUAUGCUUUUGCUAUAUCAAUUCCUUCAUCUAUUGUUGGCAUAAUUAUAUUAUGUUUUAGAUUGUCUAUUUCAAUGUUUUCUAUAAUUUUCCGUUUUAUUUCUUGAGGUAAAUUAAGUGAGUGUACUGCUAAUAAGUCUUCUAUUCUAACGAGUUCCUAUUUACUGAACAGAUAUGAACUCUAUUUAUAUGAUCCUAUAUUAAAAUCUAUUAUCAUCAUGUACUCAUUGUAUGUUAUUUUAGUGGUUGGAUUUAUUAUGUAUUCUUUAGAUUCUCCUAAAUAAAACUUGUGAUCCAUGUUAUAAACAAAAAGUUUGUUUCAGUUUGAAAGUUUUUCAGUUUAAAAGUUUUGCUCUUACUCCAUAAAUUAUCCCACCAACAACCAUCAACAAACUUCCACCAAGAGAUAAAAGUCGAGUAUUAUUACCUGAUUUAUCCUUUCUCCUUUACCUUCUGAUCUCCUUCCAGUAACCUGCAGCCUGUUUGUCCUGUGCCCUUACAGCGUCCUGCCUCAGCGGGAUCUGUGGACUCAGAUGGAUUUACUGUAUGGAUUUCGAUCGUCUUGAUAAAGAAGUGUUGGAUAAGUUUAGGUUUCUCUUCUUUUUCUUUGAUGGUUUUUGUUUUUGGUUGAUGAUGUUUUGAUUUAGGAUUUCGAGCAAGCAAGUGUUUAGUGAUCCAUCGUUAAUAAUUUCAGAGAAAAAAUGAAGGAUGUCUGAAAACGUCUGAGUGAGAGUGUGUGUUUCUCCUCAUUCUUUUUAUUUAUAUGAAAGAGAUUCUAUUACAUUAUUGGUCUAUGACCUCAUUGCUUACGUAUCUAUUACAUUAUUGGUUUUCAGCUUACAUCAUUAUUUCAUAUUUUAUUAUUACAAUUCUUGACUUCUUGUCUUCUUCUUUUCUUUUAGCAUUUUAGUUGUCUGCCACGAGCAUCUUCUUUUUAUCUUGUCUGCUACGAGCAUCUUCUUUUUAUCUUGUCUGCCAUGAGCUGCUUUUAUUUGUCGAGCAUCUUUAUUUCCAUAAGCUGACAAGCUUGCUGUAUGGUUUCAUGGCUACUAGGGAAUCUCAUGGUGCUGAUUUCAUUGAUGAGAUCUAAAAGAAUAUUUGAAGGUGUAUGGCUAUCCUCUGAGGUUACAAGGAUAUAAUUCUGAAAUCGGAUAAUUGUUCUAUAGUUUCUUUUAUAAAGGUCUUUGGCAAUACUCCAUAUCGCCUUUAUUCCCCGGGCUCUGCGGGUUCUGAUCCAUGAUUUGGUUAUUUGAGGAAUAUUUGUAUAUUCAGUUCCUACUUCUAUUUGGAAAUUUUUUGUAAGGUGCCCCACAGAGAUCAUGUAAAACGCUUGAUAUUCAACAUUUUGGUGGUAUUUUGGGCUAAUAGUGUAAAAUUUUAGGUAUAUAGGCCUUUUUUGGGCAAAUUUUGAAACUUCUUUGACUAAUAAUUCAUCUAAACUGACUAUUUCUCUUAAAUCUGUAUCUGGAUAUACUAACCCAUACUGUGCUAUUCUUCCAAUGAGGAGAGGAUCUGCUCCUUUUAUAGCUAUCAUCCUGGGGUAUAUAUUUUUUUCAGGUGCCUUGAAAAUGGUAUUAUUGUGGGAACAUGUAGAGUACACCCAUGUGGAAAACUAUUUAUAUUCUUCUUCUUUUGGAUUUAGGGUAAUAAGUUUUUUUUCUUCUUCUGAGGAAGUGCUGUUUAUUCUGAUGAACUUUUUUGUAGAAGUCUUUUUAGGAGAUUCGACUUCAAUGGACAAGGUUCAGUUGAAGGAUGGGUCACAGACUGGUUCUUGUUGUGGGAGAGGUCCACUACUGCUUCCUAUUUUUAUUGGGUUAGUAUUUAUUGAAAGCCCUUUUGUUAAGUCGUUUAUGUAUGACUCUAACAAAUGUAUUCCCUUCUCAUGAGCCUCUGUGGCUUCUUUCAUGUAAUUUAUAGUAUCUAGCAUGUCUGAUGCUUCUGCUUUGAGCCUUUGUAUUUCUGUGUUUAUCACAGAUAUGGUUUUAUUUACUUCUGUAUUCAGUCUCCGAAUUCUAUGUUCCUGCUUCGAAAAUCUGCAAGAAAAUUAUUAGUUCCUUUUAAAAUUAUAAUAUGACAAAUACGCUUGCCAUCUAUGUAAUCUCUUGUAGUGAGGUUCAUUUGGCAAAAUUUUACUAAUAAGCCAAUUUACCUAAGAAUUGUCUGUUUCUAUAAUAAAUUAUUUCUAGAGUAAAAAUAAUGAGAACUUUUUUAUUCCUUUGUAUAUUGCAAGGAGUUCUUUUUCAUGACCUUGGUAAUUGACUUGUACUGGGUUAAAUGUUCCACUAGUAUAUCGGCAAAUUUCAUUUAUAUCAGUUUUAAGUACUGCUCCCCAAUGUAAAUCAGAUGCAUCAGUUUGUACUACUAACUUAUCAUUUUCUUCUGGUAACCUUAAUGAUGGGAGGUUUUUACAUUCUUCUUUUAGGCAGUGUUUACUUUCUGGAGUGGGAGUGUGGAGUGUGGAUUCCUCACACUCCAGUGUUUACUUACCUUAAAAAAGGGGGGAGUGGGAGUGGGAAUCCGUGGGUCCCACCCAAAUUUGGAGUGGGGAGUGGGAUUCCCACUCCCAUUGGGGGAGGUGGGAGUGGGAAUCCACUCCCCCCUCUUCCCAUUUUAUCCUUAUAAAAUUAAAAUAAAUAAAUAAUAUUUAAUAAAAUAAAUAAUAUUUCAUAAAAUAAAUAAUAUCAUAUUUAUUAAAAAUAAUAAUUAUAUCAUAUUUAUUUUAUUAAAUUUAAUAAAAUAAAAAUAAAUUUAUAAAUAUAAUAAAAUAUUUAUUUUAUUUUCCAAAUAUAUUUUUUAUUAAUUUUUUAAUUACAAAUUAUAAUUCUGUACAUAAGGAUAAAAUUGUAAUUUAAAACAAUUUACUCCUAAUCUAAGACAAAGUAAACAAAUAAUUGGGAUUCUAAUUGACAAUCCAUACUUUCAUUUAAUCUAAGUAAACACCAUACUCUCACUCCCACUCCACACUCCUAAUCCAAGGAUUCCCACUCCUCAGGAUUCUCACUCCAAUCCAAAAAGUAAACGCAGCAUUACAUUCUUUACAGUUUCCAUAUGUUCUUCACUCCAUCCUUUAGUAUUAUUUUUUCUGAGUAAUUUUUGAAGUAUAUUUCUCUUUUUUGCUAAGUCUUUUAUAAAUCCUUCUGCAUAAUUUAAACAACCUAAAAAUUUUUGUAUUUGUUGUUUAUUUUCCAAUUUAUCUGGGAAUUCUGUAAUCUUUUUUUCUAUAUGGCUCUAGAGUCUAAUUCCUUUUUUGUCAAGAACCAUUUCUAAAAAUUCUAUCUUCUUGUGUUCUACGACUGCUUUUCUUUCUGACAAAACUAUACCUUCUCUGAUACAUAUAUUAACAAAUUCUCUUAAAUGGUUUCUAUGGUCUUCUAAUGUUUCUGAUGCUAUUAAUAUGUCAUUAACAUAGACUAUGAUAUAUUUAUAAUCUCUAAAUAUUUUAUCCAUUCGACUUUGAAAGAUUUGAGGGGCAUUUUUUAGUCUAAAGGGCAUUACUAUCCAUUCAUAAUGUCCUUGUGGGGUGCUAAAGGCUGUAUAAGGAAUACUGUGUUCUUCCAUUUUUAUUUGCUAAAAUCCUGAUUUACAAUCAAAUUUUGAGUAGUAUGUUUUAUUUUUUACAAGAUUUAUUAAUACUUCUUUAUUUGGAAGAAAAUAUUCAUCAAACUUCGUAUAUUUAUUUAAUUCCUUAUAAUUUAUAACCAUUCUUGGUUUUCCUCUUACUUGUUUUGAUCUUUUCCUAACCAUAAAGGCUGGGCUAUUAUGAAGGCUAUUACUAGUUCUUAUUAGUUUUAAAUUUAAUAACUCUUUUAUUUGGAUCUUAAACUCUUCUCUAUCUUCUUCUGUAUACAUCAUAGAUUUAAGCCUUAUUAUUCUAUUUCAAUUAAUUCUAUUUUUGUUCUAGGAUGGUCUGGUUUCCAUAAUGCUAAUCAGUUAUCUUUAUAGACUUGUUCAAGCUGUGAUUUUAUUGUUUCUAGUUGUAUAUUAUAACUAUGUCCUUUCAAGAUUAAAUAAUUUUUUCAUAAAUAAUAUUAUCACCAUGCUGGGCUGGCUGAACUCGGUAGGGUUUAAAUUCACGAGGGAUGUGAAGGACAUGAUUACAAGGGGUUUUUAAGGUGAUCAUAUAAGGAGUUUGUUGAUAGUACUGGAAUUGUUGUAGGAAGGCAUUUCCUAGGAGGAUAUCACAAUCCAUAUGGUCAUAUUGAAAUAUUUAAUUAAUACGUACUAUUUUACUUCCUAAAUGUAUUUCAAAAUUUAUCAAAGAUUGAUUUACUUGUUGUUUAUCUCUUGUUAUUCUAAUGAUUUUUAACUUUCUAUUAGGUUUCCAUUGGUUUGAUAAAAAGGGUUUCAUAAUUAUUAUUUCACUACUAGUGUCUAUUAAGGCACAUGUAUCUAUAUCUUUUUCUGUUAUGUUUAUUUGUGUAUAAACGGACAUAGGGUAUUUUAUAUAAGCUUGUUUUAACAUGUUUCACACACUGUUCUUUGACCUUCUAUUUGUAAGGUUAUUUUAUGUUUUUCAAUUUUAUAGUAUUCUAAAUCAUUUAAAAAACUAUUUCCUAGCACUAUAUGUUUUUCUGGGUCUGUGGUCAUGAAUAAGUCUAUAUAACAAGAUACUAUUAUUCUAAAUCCUUCUGUAAUUAUAGGGACUUUAACUUCUUGUUUACAAAUAUGUUUAUUACCUUAAAAUCAGUGUAUUCAUAUGGAAUUUCUUUUUCUUUUAUUAAGAGUCCUUUUAUUUUUAGUGUGGUUCAUAUAAUUAUGGCUCGUUCCAGUGUCUACUAGUAUAUGUAUUUUUGUCGUAUAUUAUAUUCCAUUAAAGUAUUGUCCAAGUAUUUUUACUACAUUAUUAGUUGUUAUUGAUCUAGUUAUUUGUUUAUCCAUACUAGUUAUUUAUUUAUCAGUGCUUAAUCUUCUAGAUGAACUUCCUCUUACUAAAGUCCUUCCUGCAAAACUUAUAGGAAUGAUGGAGUUUUCAUUAUUAUCAUUUAAAAAUUACUUUCUAUCAUCUAUGUUCAGUUCAUAAUUUAUAGGAAUUUUGUAGUCUUGGAUUGUGGGUUCUAUAAGGGUUGCUAUCUCUUCACUUUCUUUAUUUAUUUCUAUAUAAGGUUUAUUUCCAUAUAUUUCUCCAUAGUUCGAAUUACAAAAACUAUAUAAUGCAGAAUAAUGUAUUGUCAUUAAUCUAUUUCCUUCUUUCAUUAAGUUCUUUUUUAGUAGUUUAAAGUGUAAGCUUAGCGUCUCAUCUAUAUUUUUAUCUUUUAUGUGUACACAAUAUCUAGGAUGACAUGUAAAUAAUAGUUUAGUGUAACAUAAAUUUCCUUCUAUUGUUCCUAAAUGUCCUAUACUGGGAUCAUGAAACCUUUUAUCAUGUAGUGAUAAGACUAUAGGACUAUCUAUUCCUUCUUUGAAAAAGGAUUUUACUAAUAUUUGAAUUUAUGCUAGAUAUACAUAUUGAAUUUUUUCUUUUGUUGAUUCAUUUUUUAUUUUUCUUAAUGCUAAAUCUAUAGAUCUUUUAUUUAUUAAACUAAAUCUAAUAUUUCUUUCAGCUUGUGUAAUUGUUACAGCCUUUUCUUGUUCAUAAUAUUCAUGUAAUAUUAUCCGUUUUCUUUUGAAUAUAUCUCUAAGUCUAUGUAAUAUCCCAUAUUUCGGUUUUUCCAUAUUUAUUUUCAAAAGUUUAUUAUAUUUUUCUUUAUUAAAAGUGGCAACAAGACUAUAUCCACUUUUAUUUUCUUCUUUUUCUAUUUCUUCAAUUUCUUCUAUCUCUUCUUUCUCUAUUAUUUCCUUUUUAUUCUGACUCAUAUUCUGAUCCUUUUUCCACAUAAACUUCUUUUCCUUCAUAAUCUAAUAUAUCACUUAUUUCUUCUAAGUCAUUUCUUAUGUUUUCAAAAUCUUCUCUUAAGAGUCUAACCUUCUUUUUUGUACAAUCUGUGCUAAUCUGUCAUAUUUCUCCACAAUUCCAACAUUUACACUUGGAUUUAUCUAAUUUGUUUCUUUGAUUUUUAUACUUUCUUUUAUAAUACUUUCUUUUAUAAUACUUUCUUUCUGGUUUCUUGUAUUUUCUUUUAAAGUUAUUGUAUUUUUUAUAUUUUUUCUCUUUUUUAUAUAACUUUCUCUUUCGUUUAUAAGGUGUAUAACAACCCCAUUGGGUUGGCAUUUCUGUCUUUUCACAACAUAUUUCUCCUAUAUUUUUACUCUUUUUCAUUAGAUUUCUUUGAAUGCAUAUUUCACUUAAUCUUAUAUUUAAAAAUCUUAUUCUAGAUCCUAAAGUAUCUGGAAGUUUAUUAGUAACACUAUAUUUCUUAUAUUUAUUAAUAAAUAUCCAUUCAAGGGAUAUGGUAACUUGGAAUAAUAUAAAUUUUUAUAGAUACUUUGGUCUUCUUGACUGUAGAAUUGUUCAUAAUAAUAUUUAUUAAAUUCACAAGUAUAUUCUUUUACAAAACACAUGUUACAAAUAGUUAAAUUCAUUAAUUUCAUUCUUGCAUUUAAUUUUUCAUUUCUUGUUUCUAUUUCAGUAUUUUGUAUCCAAUCUUCACCUAAAAAUUCACUAGCGAUAUAUUCAAUUAAUCUUUCAAUUCCUAACCCUUUAUCUCUAGCUAAAGCUGUUUUAGUUGAAUCUUUUAUCAAUUUUUGUGUAUCUCCGCUUAGUCCUUUCCACCAGUUGAAUACAUUUCCUGAAAAACUGGCUAUUAGGAUGUCAGCGAAUAAAUUUAUCUUUUCUGCUUCAGAUUCUACAUUCGAAUCAUCCUUAGAACCAUUGUAUAUAAAAAAUAACUUCAUUUGCAUUCCCUAUUCAAUUAUAGCUUUUCGAGGUUCUAUUUUGCAAUCUAAAUCUAAAAAUGUUCCUGCAUUGCUUAUUGGCGUUAAUUUAUCAUUAUUAGGCUUAUAUUCUUUUUUCCAAGGGGUAUUUUUAACGGGUGGUACAUAUUUAAAAAAGGGUCUAUUUUUCUUUUUGUUCGUUGUAUACCUAUGACUUGGUUCUCUUAUAUUAGGCUUCAUUUCUGGUCCUCCAGCAGUAUUCAUUUUUAUGUGAUAUUCUUUUUCAAAAUCUUCUAAGUCACUAAGGUUUAUCUCACUAAAAUUUUCAGUUAAUUCUUCUAAUGUAUCUUCCAUUAGUCUGAAUCACUUGGAGUUGUUUCUUUUAUCUCUAAUUUUUCUUUUCCUUUUUCUUUUUUCUUUAAUUCUGCCUUUAAUUCUUCUGUUUCUUUUAAUAUUUUUGGAUAUUGAGUUUCCAUAAACCAAGUAUCAUAGUUGCCUGUUUGUGGUUUUUGUAUGGGUUUCUUAAAACUUGUUCCAAUUAUUCCUGAUUUUAGUAUUUCAAAUUUUUCUAAUUUUUUAUUUUUCUUUUGACUCAUCUGAAUUAUAGACAUUUCUAUUUUUAUUUUUCCUAUUUCUUGUUUUAUAUCUUUUAUUUCUUCUUUGAGAUUUAAAAGUAUUUCUUUUAAUUCUAUUAAUGUAGUUUCCAUAAAGUCUAAGGGUGUCUAUAGAUAUUUUAAUUUCUUGAUUGUAUGUUACGUUACACGUAACUUAGUUUUGGCCUUUCAUUUAUUAGUUUUUAAUGUUUGCAAUAAUUCCUUCAAAUUAACGUCCCCCCUUUUGGUCUUUUUCCGUCUUAACUCAACUCAUUUGGUGAUGUGUCAUUAGCUCUAUUGAAUGGUAAAAUUUUAUUUACUUAUAUAAGUCCUUAUGUUCUUAUCCUAUUAGUAUAACCUUUGAGUCUCAAUUAUUAUUGGACUCAAUUUGCCUUCCAAUUAAACUGGAUAAGAGUAAAUUUUGAAAUACAAGUGUGCAACCCAAGAGGAGGGGGGGAGUGAAUUGGGAUUUUAAAAAUUAUUUGAUUCUAAAACAAAUUAUCAUGCAAAUCUAAAAUGAAUUUAAUGGAAUAAAAAUUAAAUCAAUUAUAAUAUAAAAAGAUAAGGGAAGAGAGAUUCAAACACGAAGAUUUUUAUGUGGUUCAGCCAACAUCACCUACGUCUACGCCUCCAAGUUUUCCGGGCUUGAGGAUUUCACUAAGCAAACCUCAAAGGCUUCAAAUGCUUACACUUGACUUCCAAGGUGUCAAUGAACCUUUACAACAAGAGAUUAUCUCCAAUUUCUUAACUUAAGUGUAUUCCAACACUUACAAUCACUCAAAGUAAAAGAUUAAAAAUUAUUUUUCUCUCACACAAUAUUUAAUAUUACAAAUCAAUGCCCAAUGUGUGAAUAAAUGAAGCAAGAAUGUGUUUUAAAGCUCUAUGAAGAUUGUAUUCUCGAAUAUAAGCUCAAUGGUCGUGUUGUGAUCAAUCUUGUUUGAAUUUGAAUGAGCUUAUUUAUAGUUGGAGCUGAAAAACUAGCCGUUAUAGACUGUCUGCUCGUAAACGGUUGCCUUCUCAGCAUUUUGUGUUUUUCGUUUCUGUUAACCAGUUAGAGCUUAAGCAAUUCGUUACUCUCUUGAUUUAAUCGGUUAGCCGUUAAAAAUAAACGGUUCACCGUUUAUUUACAGAAUCAUAGUUUUAGCCAGAUAUUGCAGAGAAUCAUUUUUUAAUUUCAACUUUAACAAUUACCCAACUUUUAUAAAUAUAAUUGAAAUGAUUAUAAGGCUUUCGUUUAUUAAUGAAUAGGUCCAACAUUUUAAUAAAAAAUAUUUAAAGUUUGUUAUCGUCAAAAUCAAUAUUAUUAACAUAUACAUGUUAACAUUCUCCCUCUUUUUAAUGAUGACAAAUUUCAUUCAAUAUUUUGCUCUCCCUUAAUAUAUGCUCCCCCUAAAUGUAUGGCCAAUUGUAAAAAAAUAUCCAAUAAACAGAUUUUUGCUCAAGGAAACGUUUUGAAAAAGAAUUCAUUUCAAAAAGCGUUUUAAAAGUAAAAUGCAUUUUAAAAGUGAAUUUUAUUUUUAUUUCAUUAUCUCCCCCUUUAUCAAUAUACACAAAAUGCAGGAGCAUAACAUGAUCUCUCCACCUUCAUCAUCAAAAAGAAAAGAGGGAAAAGAAAUCUGUAAAGUAUAGAGGUGAGAAAGAAGUUACCCAACUUUGGCGAGCAAAAAAAAAUUGGCAGAGUUUCCCCUUAAAAUGGAACAAAUCCACUAAUACAAAAUGAGAUUAAAAACACUUCCAAAUAUAUUAACAAUAACUUCAUCAUCCAAUAGACCAACAAAUCCAUCAUCUAAUAUCAAAUCAGCCAACAUCAAAUCAUCCAACAUCAAGAACAUCACAAAAACAAUCCAUCAUCAAAAUCAUAGAGAAGUAGCAAUGUAUACCCAAAUAUAAAUAGCAACAAACAAACAAACAAAACAUGAAAUGUAUGUGCAAAGAUGAGACUCAGAAACUAUGAAGGUGGUGAAGAUGUGCUCCCUGGAUCAUAACCGAAAUAACGAAGAAGAGUGCGCUGUCCAGCUAUAAGUUCAAGCUGCUGAUCAAUGCUCUGCUGCUGGAAGGUCUGAAACUCCGAACGAAGCUGCUGAUGGUCGUGGGAGAAGGUGUCCCAUCUAUCGAUAAUCAGCUGCUGCCUCUCCGAAAUCCGGCGAACAUCAUCCGCCAACUGUUGCAAGGAGGCCGAAGCAGGGGGCUGAACUGAAGCAGGAGGCUACUCGGGAGCUGGAAAUGGCUCAAAAACGGAGGGCCUCUUAGGAACAACAGAGGGCUCGGGAGCAGAAGGCUGUGCUGGAGCUGGAGCUUGAGGUGGCAUCGAAGUGGAUGGAAUAUCAGCAUCCAUCUCACGCUCCUCAGAGUCAGAGUCAGCUAGAGGUUGGAGGACAGAACGGCGACGUAGAGGAGGUGGAUGAGCUCCUAAUCGAAAAUCUGGAAGUUGAUAAGAAGGAUAGAUAUCGUUGAGCAUCCGAUCGUCCUCAGGAGCAAUCAAAGUAUCCCGAUUUUUGGAGUUUUUAGUCUUUAUCCACUUGCCAUUCUUCUAGAAAAAUCGAUACUAGUCAUGUCCUCUGGACCAAUCCGUCUAGUCUCCGUAUAACCGGCAUCUAGAAGAGGCACCUCAAAGCGUCGCAGUAUCUUAGUAAUGAUACUGCCAUAUGGAAGCAAGCGGUGGUUAAUCGCGGGAGUACUCAACAUGUGCCUCACAAUAACAUAGCCGAGGUUAACGAGUCGUCCUGAAAUGAGGCUAUCUAAUAAGCCAACGUCUAACCUCGUAACCUUAUUCGAGUGACCCUUCCUAGGUGUCACUAUAUGCUGUAAAAUUGUGUAAAGUAUGCGAACUUGCAGAGGUAAAAGUUGAGAUUUAAAAGGUAAGUGACAAGUCUCAUAACUCAGAUCUUCACGCUGACAAAUAUUACGAACUCCAUCAUUAUGACAAAAACCAUCAAAGGAAAGAGCUUUCUUAGAUGUACAAAUUUUAUGACCAUCACUAGAUAUACCUAGAAAGCCAUUAAGAUCUUCAUCAUCAAAUUCAAUAUGAACACCGCCAACUUGAGUAACUAUCCUAUCUAGGCGAGUUGCAGAGAUUUCUAUGUUCGAAUAGAAAACUCGCACUUAAUUUGGAUAUACUCGUUCAUCAAAAUCAAUGGCGGACUCCCAAGGUUGAAGUAUAUUUCUAACACUUUUACCACACACAAUUAAGGUUCUAAAGUCUUCUAUGUCAACAUAAAACGAAUCAAGUACCUUUCUGCCAUUGAAGCGGUCCUCGAAACGCUUGGCCAAUGAAGGUGUGGGAAAAUAAAUUCUUGCGAAUUCAGAGACUGCCUGUGGUGGUAUGGGAUUCUGUUGAGGCGUAUCUUUCCUCCUUCGAGUUCUCCGAGAUGACUCAGCCAUGGUAAAGAACAUAGAGAAUGAGGGAUUUUGAGAACAGUGACUUUGGACGAAAAAUAACUGCUGUACCGUACAUCCGCCUUGGCCGUACAGCAGAAUUGAAAUGAUUAUAAGGCUUUCGUUUAUUAAAAGAUUUGAAUCGGUAAAAAUGAUAUAAAGAUGAUGUGAAAAGAUGUUUUAGGUGUGAUUUGGCAAGGAAAUCAAGAAAAAUGGAGGUUUGACGAUAGAGAAAGCUUCGGCUGCGCAACAAUGGCUGAAACAAUAAGAGGGCAAAUGAGAAGAGAGAGGAAACCCUUGGAACAGUUUUUAUGUCGCAAGAAAAUGGUUAACCGUUUAUUUAAACAGUUAGAGAGUAACUUUCCAGAGACUAAUGAAUGGGAAACGGUGAAAGGUUAUCCUUUUAACGGUAAAGGAGUAAUUUUCCAGAGAGCUCUCUGCUUUAAACGGUUUAUCGAUUUCGUCAAACAGUAAAAGGGUAAAAGUCAGACAUCAUGAUCUAGUUUCUGGAAUAAAAAUAGUACACCGUUUAUUGGAAACAGUUAUCCGUUUAUUUCAUCUAUAAUUGCGCACAUUUGAUUUAAUUUUUGGCUUACAAAUAAUACAUUCCAAGAUCAUUUAAUUGAUCCAAAAAUGUUUUAUGAGCCAUUUUGAUUCAUGAACAUGUAUUCAAGCAAUUAAUUCAUAUAAACAUUUAAGAAUUAUCAAAAGCAAACAUAUCACUUGAACAUCAUGCUUAAGCAUUUCAUAAAUAUUAAAUGAUCAAAUUAUCACUAAGUCAAUCAAUUCAAUACACUAAAUAACAUUAAUAGAGAAGUUAAUGCAAAAAUUUCAUCUUCCCAAGUUCAUGCCGAAUUUUCAAAAAUUAUUCUUCGCCAAGGGGUUUGGUAAAAAUAUCGACGAGUUAUUUUUCUGUAAAAAUAAAAUCUAAUGCAAUAUCUCCCUUUUGAACAGGAUCUCUUAAGAAAUGAUGUCUUAUUUCUAUAUGCUUGGUUCGAGAGUGUUAAAUGGGAUUUUUUGAAAGAUUUAUAGUACUAGUAUUAUCACACUUAGUAGGAAUUUGUUCUAGGUUAAUACCAUAGUCUCUAAGUGUUUGUUUCAUCCAAAGAGCUUGCGCACAACAACUUCCUGCAGCUAUAUAUUCAGCAUCGGUAGUUGAAAGUGCAACAUAAUUUUGUUUCUUGCUAAACCAUGAAACAAGUGAGUGACCUAGAAUAUAGCAAGUUCCACUAGUGCUUUUCCUAUCAACUUUAUAACCGGCAAAGUCCGCAUCUGAAUAGCAUAUUAAAUCUAUAUGAGUUCCCCUAGGAUACCAAAGGCCGAGAUCUAUAAUUCCACUUAAAUAGCGAAGGAUUCGUUUUACAGCAAGUAAAUGGGAUUCCUUGGGGCAUGAUUGAAAUCUUGCACACAAACAUACACUAAAUAUGAUAUCGGGUCUACUUGCAGUUAAAUAAAGUAAAGAUCUGAUCAUACCUCGAUACAUUUUGAUAUCCACUUCUUUGCCUUUUUCAUCUUUAUCAAGCUUGGUUGUUGUGCUCAUCAGAGUAUUUUUGGUCUUUGAGUCAUCAAUUCUGAAUCUUUUGAGUAGAUCUUUUACAUACUUGGCUUGAUUUAUGAAAAUUCAUUCCUCAUUUUGUUUUAUUUGCAGCCCAAGGAAGUAUUUCAACUCUCCCAUCAUACUUAUUUCAAAUUCAUUACUCAUGCAAGAUGAAAAUUCUUUACACAACAAUUCAUUAGUAUAACCAAAAAUAAUAUCAUCAACAUAAAUUUGAACAACAAAUAUGUCUUUGUUCUUAUGUUUGACAAAGGGAGUAGUAUCCACUUUACCCAUUAAAAAAUUAUUUUCUAACAAGAAAUUCUUAAGCCUAUCAUACCAUGCUCUAGGUGCUUGUUUUAAGCCAUACAAAUCUUUAAAUAACUUAUAAACAUGAUUUAGAAAUUUUUCAUUUUCAAAACCAAGGGAUUGUUUUACAUACACUUCUUUCAUAAUAUAACCAUUUAAGAAAGUACUUUUCGCAUCCAUUUGAAAUAAAAUGAAAUCUUUAUGACAUGCAAAUGCCAAUAACAUUUUAAUUGAUUCUAGUUUAACUACGAGUGCAAAUGUUUCAUCAAAAUCAAUUCUUUCUUCUUGGUUGUAACCUUGAGUCACUAAUCUAGCUUUAUUCCUUACAACCACACCAGAUUCAUCCAUCUUAUUUCUAAAUACCCAUUUAGUACCUAUGACGGAUUGAUGUUCCGGUUUAGGAACUAAUUCCUAUACAUUAUUUUUUUCAAAUUGAUUUAAUUCCUCUUGCAUUGCCAUAAUCCAAGAUUGAUCAUUUUCCGCAUCCGCAAAUGAUUUGGGUUCAAUUUGAGAAAUAAAUGCAUUAUGCUCACAAGUAUUCUUAAUUGAUGAUCUAGUUGUAACACCUCGUGAGGGAUCUCCUAAAAUUACAUCUUUAGAGCGAGAAGAAACAUACCUCCACUAUUUGGGGAGUGAUUAAGAAGUACCUUCAUUUUGCUCUACAUUCAUUUCUUCAUGUUGCUCAUCUUGAUUCCUAUGAGAUGCAUUCUUUUGGUUAUCUUUUGAUGAUUCUUUUUGUAAGUCUUCAUCUACAUCAUUAUCAACAACAACUUUCUCCGUAGAGGAAGGGUUAGAUUCAUCAAAUGUAACAUGCAUCGAUUCUUCUACAACUAGAGUUCUUUUGUUAUAAACUCUAUAAGUUUUGCUUGAGUUUGAAUAUCCAAGAAAAAUACCCACAUCGGAUUUUAGAUCAAAUUUGCCAAGAUUAUCUUUUGUGUUCAAAAUAAAACAUUUGCAUCCAAAAGCUUUGAAAUAACCACUAUUGGGUUUUCUAUUUUUUCAAAGCUCAUAUGGCGUUUUGUUAAGGUUAGGUUUAAUCAACACACGAUUUAAAACAUAACAAGCAGUGUUAACGGCCUUGGCCCAAAAAUACUUAGGCAAUGAAUUUUCAUUCAAUAUAGUCCUAGCCAUUUCUUGAAUAGAUCUAUUCUUUCUCUCAACAACUCCAUUUUGUUGUGGAGUUCUAGGUGAUGAAAAUUGAUGCUCAAUACCAAAAUCAUUACAAAAAAUCUCAAAUGCAUGAUUUUUAAACUCUCCUCAAUGAUCACUCCUAAUGCAUGCAAUACCAUACCAUUUUGAAUUUUGAAUUUUGAAUUUUCUUACAAAGCACUUUAAAGGCAUCAAUAGCAUCAUCCUUAUUAGCUAAGAAUAAUACCCAUGUAUAUCUAGAAUAAUCAUCCACUAUCACAAAUGCAUAAGAUUUGCUAUUUAGACUAGCAUAUCUAGAGGGCCCAAAUAAAUCUAUGUGAAGAAGUUGAAGUGGUUUUGAGUAGAAAUAUGAUUUUUAUUUUUGAAAGAUGUUUUGAUUUGUUUUCCAAAUUGACAAGCUUCACAAAUCUUCGCUUUUUGAAAACCAAUUUUUGGAAGACCUUUAACUAAAUCAUUUUUCGAAAUUUUUGAAAUCAAAUCCAUAUUUGCAUGUCCUAACCUUCUAUUCCAUAACCAACUAUCAUCAUGCAAUGCCGAAAAGCAUUUAUCAAGAGUAGAUGCACAUUCUAUGUCAAUGAUAUAAACAUUACCAUAUCUAUUCCCAAUAAAUAAGAUCUUGUCAUCACAUAAAUUCUCAAUAACACAACUAAAUUUAUCAAAGAUAACUUUAUAACCUUCGUCACAUAAUUGACUAAUACUAAUUAAGUUGUGUUUCAAGUUCUCAACCAAACAUACAUUCUCAAUUAGAGUUGAGGAAACUUUACCAACAUUUCCAAUUCGAAGACUUUUUCCUUUUGAGUUGUCUCUAAAAGAUACGUCUCUAUCAUUUUUAAUUUUGGUGAAGCUUGAGAACCAUGCAUAGUUUCUGGUCAUGUGCCUUGAACAACCACUGUCCAAGUACCAUUUAUUUUUCUUCUUCUUCAAGCCCUACAAGGAAAAUCUCAAGUUUUAGGUAUCCAAAGCUUUUUGGGUCCUUGAGAGUUAGUAGUGAUUCCUUUUGGAACCCAAAUGCAUUUCAUACUAUAACAUACAUUUCUUUUUACUGGACAUCUAUUUUUUAUAUGACCAUCUUAAUUACAAAAAUGACAUACAAUUUGUUUGUUACUAGAUAUACUCUUCACAAAGUAGUUUUUAUAAUAUUUUUGUUUCAAGUUUGGCUUAUAACCAAUACCUCCUUUGUCAAACACACAUUUUUGUGAAUUAAGCAUGUUAUCCAACAUCUUUUGCCCAUUUGUAAAUUUCAAAACAAUCUCAUUCAACUCAUUGCUAUUUUUCUUAAGCAUUUCAUUUUCAUUUUUCAAAUCAUCUAUGUGUGAUUCUAAAUGCUGAUGCUAGGUUUCUCAUUUGAUAAAUGCAAUUUCAUCAUGCAAUGUUUUGUUCUCUACUUCUAGGCAUAUAAUUCUUGCAUUUAGAGAUUCAUUUUCAUUUUUAAGCUUUGUCAUUUCCUUUUUAAGACAUACAUUCUUUUUACCAAUUUUCAUCAACUCAUUAUGCAAUUCUUUAAAAGCAUCAUACAAUUCAUCAUAGGUGGGAUCACUUACCUCAUUGAGAUCAUCACCAUCUCCUAUUGCCAUAAGCACUAGGUUUGAUAUUUCUUGUGACCCUUCUUCAUCACUUGAAUCUUCCUCGCUAUCAUCCCAAGUUGCAACCAUGGCUUUCUUCUUAAGUUUGUUGAUAAGUGGGCACUCCGAUCUUAUAUGGCUAGGCUUCUUGCAUUCAUUGCAUGUGAUUACCUCUUUCUUCUCCCUUUGGUUCUUGAAGUUUCUGAAUUUUCUUUGCUCUCCGGUUUUCUUGAAGAAUUUUCUGAACCUCCUUGCUAGCAUGGCCAACUCUUUAUCAUCCGGUUCACUCUCCCCAUCACUCUCAUAUUUUGAAGCUUUGAGAGCAAUGCUUUUCUUCUUCUCCUCAUGCCCUUUUUCUGUUGCCAAAUCUUCUUUAUAUGAAAUUAGAGAACCAAUUAAAUCAUCAAGAGGUAAAGUAUUUAAAUCUUUGGCCUCUUCAAUAGCAGUUCUUUUAGGUCUCCAUUCUUUUAGAAGUGACCUAAUAAUUUUCUUAACUUUCUCACUAUUUGAGAAGGUCUUCCCCAAGGCACCUAGAGUGUUCACUAUGUCCGUGAAUCUAGUAUACAUAGAAUACACAUUUGUUAUCCAACAUCUUUUGCCCAUUUGUAAAUUUCAAAACAAUCUCAUUCAACUCAUUGCUAUUUUUCUUAAGCAUUUCAUUUUCAUUUUUCAAAUCAUCUAUGUGUGAUUCUAAAUGCUGAUGCUAGGUUUCUCAUUUGAUAAAUGCAAUUUCAUCAUGCAAUGUUUUGUUCUCUACUUCUAGGCAUAUAAUUCUUGCAUUUAGAGAUUCAUUUUCAUUUUUAAGCUUUGUCAUUUCCUUUUUAAGACAUACAUUCUUUUUACCAAUUUUCAUCAACUCAUUAUGCAAUUCUUUAAAAGCAUCAUACAAUUCAUCAUAGGUGGGAUCACUUACCUCAUUGAGAUCAUCACCAUCUCCUAUUGCCAUAAGCACUAGGUUUGAUAUUUCUUGUGACCCUUCUUCAUCACUUGAAUCUUCCUCGCUAUCAUCCCAAGUUGCAACCAUGGCUUUCUUCUUAAGUUUGUUGAUAAGUGGGCACUCCGAUCUUAUAUGGCUAGGCUUCUUGCAUUCAUUGCAUGUGAUUACCUCUUUCUUCUCCCUUUGGUUCUUGAAGUUUCUGAAUUUUCUUUGCUCUCCGGUUUUCUUGAAGAAUUUUCUGAACCUCCUUGCUAGCAUGGCCAACUCUUUAUCAUCCGGUUCACUCUCCCCAUCACUCUCAUAUUUUGAAGCUUUGAGAGCAAUGCUUUUCUUCUUCUCCUCAUGCCCUUUUUCUGUUGCCAAAUCUUCUUUAUAUGAAAUUAGAGAACCAAUUAAAUCAUCAAGAGGUAAAGUAUUUAAAUCUUUGGCCUCUUCAAUAGCAGUUCUUUUAGGUCUCCAUUCUUUUAGAAGUGACCUAAUGAUUUUUUUUAACUUUCUCGUUAUUUGAAAAGGUCUUUCCUAGGGCUCCUAGGGUGUUUACUAUGUCCGUAAAUCUCGUAUACAUAGAGUACACACUCUCAUUUUAUUCCAUUUGGAACAACUGAUAUUGUCGAGUGUACCUACUAAUUUUCGACUUUUUCACUUGAUUUGUGCCUUCAUAGACUACUUCAAGUUUGUGCCAAAUUUCAUUGGCACUUUAACAACUAGAUACUCGAUGAAAUUCUUUCUUAUCAAGUGCACAAAAUAAAGCAUUCAUAGCUUUGGAAUUUAGAGAAGCUUUUCUCUUUUCCAAUUCAUUCCAUUCUCUUGAAGGUUUUGGAAUAUCUUUCCCUACUUCAUUUUUAGCUAGGGGCAAAAACGAACCAUCACAUACAACUUCCCAAAUUUCAUAAUCUAGUGCUUGUAAAUAAAUUCUUAUCCUAGUUUUUCAAUAUGGGUAGUCAUUUCAGUCAAAGAACGGUAGUCUAGUUGUGGACUGUCUUUCCCUAAAGGUUGAGUCAUUUUGGGUUGCCAUGGAUAUUUUACUCUAGAUGGUUAAGUCCUAACAAGAGAACCAAGCUCCGAUACCAAAUAAAAUAUAAGUGUGUAACCCAAGAGAGGGGGUGAAUUGGGAUUCUAAAAAUUAUUUGAUUCUAUAACAAAUUAUCAUGCAAAUCUAAAAUGAAUUUAAUGGAAUAACAAUUAAAUCAAUUACAGUAUAAAAAGAUAAAGGAAGAGAGAUUUAAACACGAAGAUUUUUACGUGGAUCGGCCAACCUCACCUACGUCUACGCCUUCAAGCUUUCCGGACUUGAGGAUUUCACUAAGCAAACCUCCAAGGCUUCAAAUGCUUACACUUGACUUUCAAGGUGUCAAUGAACCUUUACAAUAAGAGAUUAUCCCCAAUCUCUUAACCCAAGUGUAUCCCGACACUUACAAUCACUCAAACUAAAAGAUUAAAAAUAAUUUUUCUCUCACACAAUAUUUAAGAUUACAAAUCAAUGCCCAAUGUGUGAAUAAAUGAAGUAAGAAUGUGUUUUAAAGCUCUAUGAAGAUUGUAUUCUCGAAUAUAAGCUCAAUGGUCGUGUUGUGAUCAACCUUGUUUGAAUUUAAAUGAGCUUAUUUAUAGUUGGAGCUGAAAAACUAGCCGUUAUAGACUGUCUGCUCGCAAACAGUUCGCUGUUAACCAUUAACGGUUAACCGUUUAGGCUGGUCAAAGUUACCGUUGGGCCAAUUUUCUAAUAAACGGUUUGCUGUUUAGGAUUAUCCUUUCGCCGUUAAAUUCCAGAGACCUGCAAGAUAAACUUCACUAAAAGAUUAAAAAUAAUUUUUCUCUCACACAAUAUUUAAGAUUACAAAUCAAUGCCCAAUGUGUGAAUAAAUGAAGUAAGAAUGUGUUUUAAAGCUCUAUGAAGAUUGUAUUCUCGAAUAUAAGCUCAAUGGUCGUGUUGUGAUCAACCUUGUUUGAAUUUAAAUGAGCUUAUUUAUAGUUGGAGCUGAAAAACUAGCCGUUAUAGACUGUCUGCUCGCAAACAGUUCGCUGUUAACCAUUAACGGUUAACCGUUUAGGCUGGUCAAAGUUACCGUUGGGCCAAUUUUCUAAUAAACGGUUUGCUGUUUAGGAUUAUCCUUUCGCCGUUAAAUUCCAGAGACCUGCAAGAUAAACUUCAGCUAUCCGUUUGCAUUAAAAGGUUAAAGAUUUGCCCGAAAUAACCUCUCUAGAAUUUAUCGGUUAACCGUUUGUAAUAAACGGUUCGCCGUUUGUUUCCAGUAACCUAUAGAACAAGUUAGCCUUAUCCGUUUCAGUUAAACUUUUACCGUUUGUUUUCAGUAACAAGAUGAACACAGUUUUCCAUUCUGGAUUUUAAUCAGUUAACCGUUUCAAUAAACAGUUCACAGUUUAAUUCCAGUUGGCUUCUCAGCAUUUUGUGUUUUCCGUUUUUGUUAACCGGUUAGAGCUUAAGCAAUUCGUUACUCUCUGGAUUUAAUCAGUUAACCGUUAAAAAUAAACGGUUCACCGUUUAUUUCCAGAAUCAUAGUUUUAGCCAGAUAUUACAGAGAAUCAUUUUCCAAUUUCAAGUUUAACAGUUAUCCAACUUUUAUAAAUAUAAUUGAAAUGAUUAUAAGGCUUUCGUUUAUUCAUGAAUAGCUCCAACACUUUAAUCAAAAACAUUUAAAGUUUGUUAUCAUCAAAAUCAAUAUUAUGAACAUAUACAUGUUAACAAAUUUCUUCUCCAUUAAUAUGAGUAGAGCAAAUAUCACUAUGAUAUUAUGUGAGGGUAGAUAUUCAGACUGUGCCAUAUUAGAUGUAUUAAAAAUAAUUCCGAUAAAUUUUUUAUUGUAAAUAUUAAUAAAAUUCUGAUGGCAAUAUAUUAACCUAUUUAAAACUUAUUAAAAAAGCCAAAAUAUAAAUAUAUACCACCCUUAAACACGCAUCAUGAAUUUUCUUUACUCAUGUCUAAUUGAUGAUUUAUCAUGACGCACUAUACAAAUAGAUAAAUUUUUUCAAUUUUUUUUUGAAAAAGCAAUCAAGAUUUUAUUCCAUCAACAUAAGAAAGUACAAACAACUUGAAAUAUUAAAUUUGAUUUUGAUUUCCUCUCACCAAUUCAAUCUAAUUAUUGACAACAAAAUAGACCGGUCUGGAUAUCAAAUUUGAUGUUCAUUAAAGCAUCAGUGAUUAAUGUACAAUUAAAAUAAUGAUUGAUUAUUAGCAAAGAUUGAGUAAAUUAAUUAACGUUUAUGUUAAAUGAAAACCAAUCAUUUUAUUGAUAAACAAAGAUGGUGACUUACUACAAUCCCAUAAUCCAAAUCACAAGCAAGAAAUCCAAAUCACAAGCAAGAAAAAGCUCAAGCCAAUUAAACAAGUGAUAAUAGCAAGGCCUAAAGAAGGUACUAACAUUGCAUACGUUCCCGUAACGAAUGCAAUCACCAUUGCUCCCAUGGCAAAUACGGUGAACCAAAUGGAAGCGUGGAGCAGACCCUGAUUGAAAUCUUUAGUUUUUUCAAUUUUAGGAGCCAUCAAGAAGUGAGUAAAGACGGCAGAAAGAGAAAAGACCAUGGCAAUGGAAUCUGCUACUAUAAAUGCUUGAAAAGCUUUAUUUCUCCUUAGGAUUGCAGUUCCAUUUUCGCUUCUGUAACCGCCAGGAAUGGUGAAAGCUGCUUCGAAGGAUACCGUUGCUAUGAGUGCAGCCACUACCAAAUGUGAUGCUCUCGUAUCCUUGUAAUCUUCUUUAGUAACAUACUUUCGUACUUUUCUUAUGCGUAUAACACCUUUUGAAUAUUGUCCUCUGCCAACAUCUUUGGAUAAUUUUUGGAUUUCUUCCUGUAAUUAAUUUACAUUUGAAUAUUAAUUAAUUGCGUAAAAAAAUAAAAUUUAAUAAUUUAGUUGAAGGAACAAAUUAAAUAAUUACCUUGAGCUCAGUAUAGCCAUAAUUAAAAACGUGUCUGACACUAACAUUUUGUUUGUUGACAGCGUCAUAGUUGGCUUGAGUACUCCUAUUCAUAACAUCAUGGAAUUCUUUUGGUCGGACUGCAGCAAGCACAUGGAGAGGAGUGUUUCCCUCGGCAUCCCCCUCAUCUAUAAGACUCCUCGCUAACGGAUUAUUUUCAAGAAGAUUUCUUAGUUGUCCAACAUGAAAACUAACCAUAGCAUAAUGGAGAAAAUUACAUCCCCUGUUAUCGACCAGCUCGUAACAUUUUGGAUUUCCAGAAAUAAUUCGCUCAACCGUUCGGGCAUCCCCUUUGCCCGCUGCCAAAUGAAGAGCUGUCAUCUUUCGAUCUUUGUCAGCAAUGUUCGAAGCGGAUUGAUCAGUUUCUAAUAACAAAUUUAUCGUCCUGUAAUUUCCAUGAUAUGCAACGUAAUGAAUUGGAGUCCACCCAUAUUGAUCUGUUUCUUUGAUCAGAUUCUUCUUUUUCUCAAGUAAUUUCGGUAAUGCAGUAUCAACUGAGAAUACAGAAGAUAAAUCAAAUAAUAAUGAAAUUUUUAAUAAAAGUAAAUAUUCAGAAAGGGCAUAAAUUUGGGGGGCUAUUUAUGUUGGAGAUAUGAGGAAAAAAAUAGAUUUUUUUUUUUUUUUUUUAAUUCCAAACCAGCCAGAGGUCUAGAACAACACCAACACCAAUCACACAAUGAGUGAUGAAUAAUGGCUUCAGAUCGGUAACUUUGUUAUUUAGCAAAAUAAAAACUUGCAAUCAUUUCCCUGAGUUUGCAUCUAGAAAUCACAAUUUUUGCAAAAUUCACUAAGACACGUUUGAAGCACUAUUCUAAAGACCAAUUUGGUAAAUCUAAUUAUCCUAAAAACCAACUUUCCCUAUCUUAGUUAUCCAAAAGACCAAUUUUCACUAUAUUUACAGUUCUAAAGAUUAAUUUUUUAGGAGCAUUUCACAGUAAAAAAAUUAAUUCCUUCAUAACAGCACUUAAUUUCUUCAUAAAUUAAGAGUAUUUUUGUCAGUAAUAAAAAAAUUAAUUCUCCUAAGAAUAUUUAGUCAUUAACUGGAUUAAGUGAAUUAAGUAAAUUAAGUGGGAGAGAGAACGUGGCGAUCGGCUCAGAGGAGAGAGGAAACAGGUCGGGUCAACCCGUUCACGAAACCUGAAUCGGUGCUUCCGAUUCUGGCCACAUCUCCGGCGAUGGAGGGUAUCAACCGAACUCCCAGACGACGCGGUCAUUCCCCUAUCAUCAUUGUUGCUGGAAAACAGCCUAUGACCAGUCCACAAGCCCGUGUUAAGUCAUGGAGGACGAAAACUCAAAUCGGCGAGUUUUUACCUGAUUUCGAUCAUGUCGUCACCUGGGAUUUGUCGUUUAUGGCAGUCACUUCAAUUUCUGACCAUCAAACAGUGGCCGAUUUGUCGCCGAUCAGCCGUUGAAGUUUCACGGCUGUCGAAACUCGAUCGGGCACCAUGGCUACGCGUCGGAGCACACCGCUGCCACCUUUGGAUUCAGAGCGAGCUGAAGUUCCUGUUUUGACUUAUUUGAUCAUCGCCGCUCGAAUUCCGGUCAUCAUUGACCAGCGAGGGCAUUUUGGUAAUUUAGAAUUUUCAAGGGUAAUUUGGUAAUUUAAAAUUUUGGGAUAUUUUAUUAACUCAUGAAUGAGGAUAUGAUGAUAUCUCAUGAGCGUUUUAUUAUUGGUUUUAGACCGAUGGUGUAAUACACUUUUGUUACUUAAUCACGAUAAAAAAUAUGUAUCUAUUUUACGUGUUUCAAAAGUUUAUUUUGAUAUGUACGGGGUAUGGAUUUAUAUGGUCUGUCCAUGUAUUUAUGCAAUGUGUUGUUAUGUGUCAAAUAUGAUUUAUACACAUAUAUAUGUAUGUGUAAAAAUUUAUUGGCAUUAACAUGAAUAUGCAUUAUGUUUUUCGGAAAAUAAGAAAGUGGAUUCGAGCAAAUUGAUUUUGAAGAAAGAAAGAAAGUUUUUCGAUUUUGCUUAGUUUCUUGAAUUCUUUACUCGCUUAGUGGACACUGUAGAUAUAAUAUUUAAGAGAUAAGUGGGUGAAGGAAGUUUACAUGAAAACCAAAGUUAUAAAUGUUAAGUGAGAGUCUUAUUGAAUAGUAAUUGAAUGAAGGUAAUUGAAGUAAGUGAUUUAAAAGGAAAUGUGAAGUUUGAUCAUGGCAAAAGAAAUUUUAAAGAAUUUGUUUUAUAAUAUUUUUAAAAGACUGGCAUGUUAUCCAUUUGCAUUAUAUAUAAACAAGUAUGUAUUUUCAUAUAUGAAAAAUAAAUUUGCUUAUUGAGAUCAUUAUAAUUUAUUGUGAUUUUCAGAAAUUAUGAUUGAUUCAUGAUGAGUGAGGAGAAAAACCGGAAUUGAGAAUAGUAGUUAAAUAAUUCUCUUUGAGGGUAUAAUUAGAUUUAGUUAAUAAUUCACUAAAUUUAAUAAUUCGCUAAUUUAAUAACUCACUAAAUCUAAUAAUUCACUGAAAGGGUAUCAUUAAACUUACCGGCAAAAGAUCUCAUUGCUGCAGCAUGUAAAGCCGUCUUUCCGUUGGGGCCUUCAUGAGAUACUGAUGUGCUGUUUUCUAACAGGGCAAGCACCAUAUCAAAGGACGCUGAUGUGCGGUUUUCCAAAAGGCCACGCAACAUAUCAGAACGGUUCUCAUACUCAGCAGCCAUGUAGAGUGGCGUUUUGCCGUAAUUAUUUGCAGAAUAUGGAUAACCAGGGUCUUCUCUUGUCAGUAUUUUCACCACGUCCACGUUGCCUUGAGACACUGCCUCGUGGAGUGCUGUAUUCUUCUCGUUAUUCACCAUCCUAAUCAUUUGCCUGAAAGGUUCAACCCCGCUCUCUGGCUCUUCAUCUCCACGUUGAGCUAAUUUUGCUCUUUCAAUAAGAACUCUCACUAUCUCAAAAUGGCCGAAUUUUGCUGCAAGGUGAAGUGGAGUAUCGCCUUUGGCAUUAACUUGUAGUAGCAGUGCUGGGCAUUUCUCAAGUAUUUCUUCUACGAACUUCGUUGACACAUUUUCUCUUUCUGAUGAUAUGAUGUUGAUAUGCAGGAUUGUGUUUUUGGCCUUUGCUGUUAACAAUCUCUCAAUUACAUCUCUUUCCAUGUCUUUGAACGGUUCUGAAUUGCCCGCAGAUGCAGCUUUGAAAAAAUUUAGGUCCAUUUGCUGCUUAAUUUCACCAUUGCUGUCCAAUAAUGGAGCUUCCUCAAUCUCAAUGGAAACAGGAUUCAUGUUGGCGAAGUUGAUCUAUUAGAUAACGGUACCCAGUAUCUCGGAGGUACUCAUAGAUCUUCUUCUAACCUGACAUGUAUGUAUAUAUGACUUGAAAAGUGUAGUAUUUUUCACACUUCUUAAAUUCUUGCUUUUUUGACAAGGUAAGUAUCGACAUUAAUUCUUACUCUUUUGACAAACCAAGAAUUAACAUUUUUAACCUUGAUUUCUUCCUCAUGCUCUUUUAGUUAAAUAAAUAAAUAAAUUGAGAUUAGUCAUUCUCGUUGGCAAACUAAUCAAUUUCUCAAUUGUGUGCUUGUAUGUGUAAUUAAUAAUUAAUUAAACUGUGGCGCAAUAUUUUUAAGAACCCAGACAAAAAUAUAUAUAUACCAAUUAAUUAUUAAAGUUGACCAUGGUUUCUUCUAUUGUUUUGUCCUUAACAUUGCAAAAGUCUGCAUAGCCAUAUCCUCAAUCUUUAAAUACUGCAGCCUUCCUUAUCACAUUUCGAUCGGAUUCCAUAUACAGUUCUGCUCUUUUUGUUUGUUGGGUAAAGAAAGUGACUCUCAAAUGACUGCAAACAAUAAAAUAAUAGGGGAAUACUCUAUGAGUACUUCAUUAAUUCUACAAAAGAAAAGUGAUUCAAUGUUGCCUCUUAGCCUUCUUGUUACUUAUUAAAUCACUUCUUAAAAUGAUACUACAUGGAAUGUGUCAUUCAUGUAUUAAUUAUCGACAUUUAUAUGUUUUAUUUGACAGAAAAAUAUCUAAGAGUAUGGUUGGUGCAUUGUAUUACGGGAUAUUAAAAUACUAUUUACAUUAAAUUAAUGAUAAGACUAUGUUUGAAAAAACGAGAAUGGGUUAAAGGGCUGUGCAUUAGCUUACUUUUUUUUUUUGUUGCUUUUGCUUUUGCUUUUGCUUUUGACUUUUCUUUUAACUUUUGCUUUUACUUUAUAAUAAUAAUAAUAAUAAUAAUAAUAAUAAUAACUACUUUUUAAUUUAAUACAAUAUCAUCUAAUUUUUAUUUUUAUUUUUAUUUUUACAUUAUAAUUAUUAAUAUAAAUUAAUAAAUAUAUAAUUUAUUAUAACUAAUAAUAAAUAUGAAUAAUAUUAAUUUAAAAUUAAUAAUAAUAUAAAAUAUUAAAACAAUUUAAAUAUAUUAAUAUAAUAUAAAAUAUUAGUAUAAUGUAAUAUUUAAUUUAAAUUAAUCACAAAACAAAUCGAUACAGUGCAGUAUGACACCAAACAUUGUACAACAUUAAUCAAUACAGUACAGUAUAACACCAAAUAUUAUACAAUAUUUUUAUAAUACGGUACUAAUACAAUACAACAUAAUACAAUACAUUAGUAUUAAAAUAAUAAAAUACAACAUAAUACAAUAUAAUGUACUAAACGCACCCUAAGUGAUUUAUUAAUUAAUUAACUAUUAUUUAUGUAUAUGGAGAUUCUUUACCUUUUUUUUAAUCAAUUAACUAUUAUUUAUGUAUAUGGAGAUUCUUUACCUUAGUUUAACAUAUGUCGUUAUUCUUCCACGAACCUUUAAUUGAUUUACACGAGUAUCACAAUGGUUCCACUGGAACAAUCUUAUUAUGCAGUUCCCAUUCGACAACUUCAAAGUGUUACAAUUGUUUAGUUUAUACAAAAUGUAUUUACACACUCAGUCUCAAGUCCACUAAGGCCGCGAGUUCAAAGUUACAUCUCUUCCUAUACCCUUGAAAGGUUCAGUAUUUUAACAUUGAAAUCAUGGUCCAUUUGUUAGAAAUAUGAGUCAAUAUAGUUUCAUUAAAAGCCUAAAUCAGCCAGAACAGCUGUACACAAUGGCGUUGAACAAUCACUUGAAUACAGUAACUUUAUUAUCUAAAUGCUACACUUUUAUGUGGAGGAGAAUAGAGUUUUUGUGCAUCUAUCUGUUGACUUUUUGCACACGACAUGUUUUUUAGUUAACGUUUGUUUACUCUUUUAAUUGGCAAGAGAAAUGUUAAAUCAAUCAUGGGGUGACAGACCGCUGAGAAAAACAAAGGCAAAACGAUGAAGUUUUUUCAAUGGGGAAAAAAUUACUAACUCAAUCCCUAGGGUCGAGUAUUAACUAGCUCCACUCGCCCGACAACGGACAAAAUACAACCCUUGAAAAUUGGAACUCCAGGAUAAACAAAAGGAAAAGAGCCUUCGGAGAAGCCUAAGAAAUCACUGACAGUAUUUUUUCGAGAAGCAGCUGCCUUGACCUGAAAAAAAAUGUUAAAUCUUCUUUUUCUCUAAGUUAAUUUUUUGGGAAAAAGACAAACACACCCCCAACGUUUAGACAAAGGGACAAAAACUCCCUUGACGUUUUGAAAAAGAUAUUUACACCCUCAUUUACUGACAGAAACAAUAACUUUUAAUGGAAAUAGUAAUUUUAAUAUAUAAUUACCGUUAUACCCUUCUAACACAUAAAAAAAUAAUUGUUAAUUGUCCAAUUUAUCCAUAUAUUAUUAAUAAAAUUAUAAAUAUACCCCCAUUGCCCAAUUCCUCUAUUUAAAUUUUUAUCAAAUUCUCUCUUUAAACCAAAUAAAUUUAAUCCAUUACUCAAGAAUAAAAAUAAAUAAAAUUAGUUAUUAAUGCCAUAAGAAUAACAAUUCUCUAGGCCAUCCUAGGUUGAAAUCAUAAUCUGAUAAUUUGGGAUAAAAUUUAUACUAAUAAACAUUUUUUUUUUUAAUUAGCUAGUGACAAGUUGAAAUUUUUUUUUAUUUUAAUUUUAAGUUGGUGUAUACUAAAGAAAUCUUAAAACAAAAAAAUGAAAUAUUAUCAAUAUGGCUUUAGCCUAAGAAUAUUUAAAAAAUUCUACUAUCCUCGAUUCCCAUCCAAGAAAACGAAGAAUCCACGGAAUGCAUUUAACAAUGAAAUUUUUAUAUUUAAUUUCUUCCAAAAUUGCAAAUUUAUUCAUUACUAACUCUCUUUUUUAAUUAAGAUUUGCUUAAAUUCAUAUAAAUUUCAAGACAUAAAGAUUGCCUUUAAGGAGGCUAACCAAAAAAAAAAAAAAGCGGUAAGUAAGAAACCGUUUAUGAAUAAUAUCUUUAUUUUAUGAAAAAAAAAACAAUUUUCUUUUUAGAAAGACCAGCUCAGCCUGAACAACAACACCCAUCAAAAACCUCAACGGUGAUGAACAAUAGCUUGACAAUAGAAUUCUUUGUUAUUUAAAAAAAAAAGUUACAAUCAUAACCUUGUGGCUGCAGCCGGAAAACCAAAUAGUUGCUUCCUACAACGAAGAAUUUGUUAUCGGACCAACAAAUACGAACUCAGAGAAAAAUCCUCAAGGCGGGUGCAAAGCAUUGUCCUAAAGGGUAAUUUUCACUAUACUACAACAUCGGACGCUGUCAUAUCUUUGUAAUCAUAUUUAGGAUCGUCAAGAUAAUCUUUUGACCAGGCAGGGUUAGAUUAUGAAUUUAUCGUAUUUAUCUGUGUGAACAUAACAAAAAAAAAAAAACAAUUCAAAAGACAUUGCAACAUCAAGAAACUUGCUCAAAAGAAAGUUGGUAAAAAGACAAAUUACUAUUUUAAUAUUGAAUUUUAAAGGGUCCAAACCAGAAUAACUUAACUAUAAAUAUAUUUAAGUUAUUUUAAUAAAGAUUGAUUUAAGGACACGAAAGAAAAAGAUUUAAAAAUAAAAAUACCAUAAAAUUUAAGGGAUAUUGAAUUAUUUUUUGGGCUAACCCGGUCGAGCCACUACUCCACGUGCCAUUGCAUUUGGAUCUGGUCUUAGCAAUUUAGCACUGUCGUCAUGAAUAUAGCACCAUCUUGAUAUUGUCCUCCGCCAACAUCUUUGGAAAAUUCUUCCUCCUGUAAAUUGAGUGUGAAUAUGAAUUAAUUGCAUAAACUAAAAAAAAAAAUAAUAAUAAAGUAAUGAAAAAGAAAGCUGGAUUUAUAAGUUGAAAGAAUUAACAAAUUAAUUACCUUGAGCUCAGGAUAGGAUAGCCAUAUUUCAAAAUGUGUCUAACACUAACAUUUUGCCUAUUGACAGUGUGAUAGUUAGUUCGAGUCUUCCUAAUCAUAUAGAGUUCUCCUUGGCAUCCCCCUCAUUUAUAAGACUCCUCGCUAACGGAUAUUUUAGUUGAGUUUUUAAAUCAUUAAAAAAAAAAUGACUAUUCCAUAAUGAAAAAAGUUCCAUCCCCUGUUAUCGACCAGUUCAUAACAUUCUGGUGUAAGGGAAAGAAUUCUUUCAACUGUUCUGGCAUGCCCUCGGCCCUUUGCCGAAUGAAGAGAUGAAGUUUUUUCAAUGGGGAAAAAAUUACUAACUCAAUCCCUAGGGUCGAGUAUUAACUAGCUCCACUCGCCCGACAACGGACAAAAUACAACCCUUGAAAAUUGGAACUCCAGGAUAAACAAAAGGAAAAGAGCCUUCGGAGAAGCCUAAGAAAUCACUGACAGUAUUUUUUCGAGAAGCAGCUGCCUUGACCUGAAAAAAAAUGUUAAAUCUUCUUUUUCUCUAAGUUAAUUUUUUGGGAAAAAGACAAACACACCCCCAACGUUUAGACAAAGGGACAAAAACUCCCUUGACGUUUUGAAAAAGAUAUUUACACCCUCAUUUACUGACAGAAACAAUAACUUUUAAUGGAAAUAGUAAUUUUAAUAUAUAAUUACCGUUAUACCCUUCUAACACAUAAAAAAAUAAUUGUUAAUUGUCCAAUUUAUCCAUAUAUUAUUAAUAAAAUUAUAAAUAUACCCCCAUUGCCCAAUUCCUCUAUUUAAAUUUUUAUCAAAUUCUCUCUUUAAACCAAAUAAAUUUAAUCCAUUACUCAAGAAUAAAAAUAAAUAAAAUUAGUUAUUAAUGCCAUAAGAAUAACAAUUCUCUAAUCUUAUCUUAAUUGUAUUAAAUAACAUAUCCUAUAGACAUAAAAAUUGAUAAAAUAAAUAAAAUUAGUUAUUAAUGCCAUAAGAAUAACAAUUCUCUACAUGUCAAUCAUUUAAACUUGUAUAAUCAACAAAAUAAAAAAAAAGGCUGGUUACAACAAUAAUUACAAAAAUCUUAUCUUAAUUGUAUUAAGUAACAUAUCCAAUAGACAUAAAAAUUGAUAAUAGAUUAAAUUUAUUUUGCUUGAAGAGAUAAUUUGAUAAAAAUUUAAAGAGAGGAAUUAGGUAAUGAAGGUAUAUUUGUAAUUUUAUUAAUAAUAUAUAAACAAAUUGGACAAUUAAUAAUUUUUUUUAUGUGCUAGAAGGGUAUAAUGGUAAUUAUAUAUUAAAAUUACUAUUUCUAUUAAAAGUAACUAUUUCCGUUAGUGAAUGAGGGUGUAAAUAUCUUUUACGAAAUGUUGGGGAAUUUUUAUCCUUUUACCUAAACAUUGAGGGUGUGUUAGUCAUUUUCUCUAAUUUUUUUAAUGUAUCAACUGAUACAAAAAAAAUAAGUCUCACAAUUAUGAAGCGUAUUCAUAUUAAUAAAUAUACAGAAAGGCACAAAUUUGUUGGGCCAUUUACGUUGGAAAUUUGAGACAAAAUAACUUUUUUGAAAGACCAGCUCAGCCUGAACAACAACACCCAUCAAAAGCCUCAACGGUGAUGAACAAUAGCUUGACAACAAUAUUCUUUCUCAUUUAAAAAAAAAAGUUACAAUCAUAACCUUGUGGCUGCAGCUUAGAUCUCGAUUUAUCAGAAUCACUCUCUAUGUUAAUGACACAUGAGGGAAUGUUAGAACAACAAGCUUUAGCUGAACUAUGGAUGCAAAUCUGGCGUUUGCUGCAAAUUUUGUUCAGUAAGGGAACAAUAAUAAGAAAGGUUUUGGAACAUACAACUCAAGAUCUGGUUUCAAUCAAGAUGCAUCAAGAUCUGAAAAUUCUGGAUACAUGAUGCAAGGAAAUUUUAGAGGGAAUCAAGGUGGAAAUUUCUAUCGAGGAAGGAAAGGUGGAAGAGGAAAUAACAUGCAUGGAGGAAGAUCUUGGAAUCAAGGUGAGAGAACUCAAAUGCCUGGUCAUGUGCCUGGUCAUUUUUCACAGCCAUAUCAACCUAGAUGCCAAGUGUGCUUCAUCAUAGGACACACUGCUGCUACCUGCAAGGAUAGGUUCAACAAGGAUUUCAUUCCAGUCAUAAGGUAUCCACAUCAGAAUCAAGUUUUCAAUCAAGGCUACGGUCAAAGAAAUAUGUCAGCUUAUAUGGCAACACCAGAAGCAGUAAUGGAUGAUGACUAGUACCUGGAUAGUGGAGCAACUCACCACCUAAUCAAUGAUCUCAAUAAUCUCAGCAUCAGUGAGCCUUAUGAAGGUAAUGAAAAGCUUUUAAUUGGUAAUGGACAUGGCCUUACUAUUUCUCAUAUAGGAAGCACUCAUUUAGCAGUUGGAAAUCAUAGAUUAUUGCUCAAAAAUCUUUUAUUUGUGCCACACAUCACCAAAAAUCUUUUAAGCAUUUCUAAGCUCACUUCUGAUAAUUCCUUGAUCAUUGAAUUUUAUGGAAAUACUUGCUUUCUCAAGGACAAGAAGAAGAGGACAGUAUUGCUGGAGGGUGUAGCUAUGAAGGGUCUGUAUAAGCUGAAACUUGAGCCUGGAAGUAAAACUCAUCAAGCUUUAUUUUCAACUGUAAAUAAAGAGUCAUGUUUUGUUCCUAUGUCUAUGGUGCCACAUUGCUCAGAUGGUUUGCAGUCUUGUUCUUUUUCAAAUAUUCAAGCUAAAGUUGUUCAACACUCCUCUCAACAGUGUCUGUUGUCUCAUUCCAGUAGAGUUUCCAGUACUUCAAUAAAUAUCCUACAUAGGCAACUUGGUCAUCCUAGUUCAAAAGUCUUGAAACAUGUACUCACCAGUUGUAAACAUUUGCAGUUAAGCAAUAAAAUUCAAAUUCCUGAUUUUUGUGAUGCCUGCCAAUAUGGCAAAGUUCAUAAACUGCAUUUUGGAGCAACUGAACACAAAACAACCUCACCUCUAGAACUCAUCCAUACUGACUUAUGGGGUCCAGCACCCAUUACUUCUCUCAAUGGUUAUAGAUACUAUAUCAGUUUCAUUGAUGAUUAUAGUAGAUAUGCCUGGGUUUAUCCUUUGAAAACCAAGUCUCAAGCUUUAUCUGUUUUUGCCAUUUUUCGAACUCAAGUUGAAAAACAAUUUGAAACAGUCAUUAAGGUCCUACAGUCAGAUUGGGGGGGGGGGGGGAAUAGUCAGAUUGGGGGGGGGGGUGAAUUCAGAUCCUUUGUGAAUUAUCUUAAAAAACAUGGCAUUUUAUUCAGACAUUCAUGUCCUCACACACAUCACCAGAAUGGGACAGCAGAGAGGAAACAUAGACAUCUUGUUGAGAUGGGUUUGACUCUUCUUGUACAAGCUAAAUUGCCUCUCAGUUUCUGGUGGGAAGCAUUCUCAACUUCUGCUUUUCUCAUCAAUCGAUUGGCAACUUCUGUUCUACCAUCAAAUAAAUCUCCCUAUGAGAUUCUUUUCAAACACAAGCAUGACUAUGAUUUUCUAAAGUGUUUUGGCUGUUCCUGUUUUCCAUACUUGAGAUUCUAUAACAAACACAAAUUCAACUAUCACACUACAAAAUGUUUGUUUAUUGGUUAUAGCUCAUAUCACAAAGGGUAUAAAUGCCUAAGCUCAAAAGGUGUUGUAUAUGUUGUUAGGCAUGUUGUGUUUAAUGAGUCAGAAUUUCCUUUCUCUACUGACUCUCUUUUCUCUAAACAACCUUCUUCCUCUGCUUCUGAAUAUAGAUAUCCUAUGUUUAAGGUAUCUUCAGUGUCAGUUCCACUUCAUGACCCUUCAGGCUCAAGUAACACCAUUAUACAACCAUUUCAGUUGCCUGCAGCUUCAGCUUCUUCCUCCUCAUCUAGUUCUUUAUCACCUUCUUCUCAACCAUUUCAACCAUCUCAAUCAAAUCAUCCACCCUCCCACACCUCUCCUUAUGUAUCCCAAAACACUUCAAAUCAACAACCAUCCUCUACUCAAGUUUCACUGCCAAAUCACCCAAUGAUUACAAGAGCCAAAGCAGGUGUAUUUAAGCCAAAAUUUCAUGCCUAUUCCUCUGUUCUUGGAGAACAAGAGCCUUCCACAGUUUCUCAAGCUCUUUCAGAUUCCAAAUGGAAAGCAGCCAUGCAGGCAGAGUAUAAUGCACUUAUGGAAAAUAAGACUUGGAUUCUUGUACCAGCUUCUCAAGCUACUAAAAUUGUUGGGUGUAAAUGGGUUUUUCGCAUUAAGUAUAAUGCAGAUGGUUCUGUUUCUAAGUAUAAAGCACGGCUGGUGGCAAAAGGGUUUCAUCAAACACCUGAUAUUGACUACUUUGAGACCUUUAGUCCAGUAGUUAAAUAGUCAACUGUGAGAAUUAUCCUUAGUCUUGCUGUGAUGAAGGGCUGGAAAAUAAGACAAAUCGACAUCAACAAUGCUUUCCUUAAUGGAGAGCUCAAUGAAGAUGUCUACAUGUUUCAACCUGAGGGUUUUGUUCAGUCUCCAUCUGGUCAUGUUUGUCAGUUGCAUAAGGCUCUUUACGGUUUGAAACAGGCUCCUAGAGCCUGGUUUGACAGGCUAAGGAAAGCACUGUUGCAGUGGGGGUUUCAGAACUCCAAAGCAGACUCAUCUUUGUUCAUCAAACAUGAACUUGGAGGUAUUGUGGCUGUGUUAGUAUAUGUAGAUGAUAUAUUAAUUACUGGUGAUAACAAUACAGUAAUUGAAACAUUUAUCCAAUACCUUGGAGAUACCUUUGCUUUAAAAGAUCUUGGUGAGUUCAGUUACUUCCUUGGUAUUGAGGUUACACAUGAUGCAAAGGGUAGCUUACAUCUUUCACAGGCAAAAUAUGUAAGAGAUUUGCUUACAAGAACUGAUAUGGAAAAUUGUAGAGAAAGUGAUACUCCAAUGAGUACAGGACAGAAACUAAGAAGAGCAGGGAAUGAUGAUAACUUGAUUUUUAAUGUCACUGAGUAUAGAAGCAUAAUAGGUGCUUUACAGUAUUUGGUACUUACAAGACCAGAACUUGCCUUUUCAGUUAAUAAGUUGAGCCAAUUUCUUGCUGCACCAACUGAGAAACACUGGGUUGCUUGUAAGAAAAUUCUAAGAUACUUAAAGGCAACUGAAGAUUAUGGAUUGAUGUUUAAAGCAGGAGAUGGAAUUAGUCUGACAGCAUAUACAGAUGCAGAUUGGGCGUGUGAUGUGGAUGACAGAAAGUCAGUUGGAGCAUAUUGUGUAUAUCUUGGGCAGAAUCUGGUUUCAUGGUCCUCCAAGAAGCAACAAACUGUAGCAAGGUCUAGCAUAGAGUCAGAGUAUAGAGCAUUGUCAACAGCUUGUGCAGAAAUUGUUUGGAUUCAAGCUUUACUUGGAGAGCUUAAACUGAAGUGUAGCCAAAUACCAAUAAUCUGGUGUGACAACAAUGGUGUAGCUGCACUAGCAACAAAUCCAGUAUAUCAUGCCAAAACCAAGCACAUAGAGUUGGAUGUGCAUUUCAUAAGGGAAAAGGUAACGGGCAAACAAGUGGAGAUCAAGUAUGUACCAAGUGAGUGGAAUAUUGCAGAUGUGCUUACAAAGCCUAUGGCUUACUCUUUUUUUAAUUACUAUAGAGACAAGCUUAAUGUUGUUCCACAACCAUUAAGCUUGAGAAGGGGUGUUGAGAUGCUUAAUCAACAGCAGCAUAUCAAUGGCUGAGAUUCACUUGACUAGGAUUGAUGAGCUGGAUAGCUGAGUUGGACAAAUUAGUUAGAUUGUUAUUGUUUAGCUUAGCUUAACCAAUAGUUAUUUGACAGCUGUUACAGAGGUUGUUACUUCUGUUAAUCAGCAAUAUAAGUUGAUGAAAGCUUGAAUGUAAGUGUGUGAUUCGAGAUUAAUAAAAUUCUCUUAUUCAGUUUGUUUUUCUUUCUUCCUUCGUCACUUUCCUGCUAGCCAAACAGAUUGUAUGCUUAAGGUUUGUGAAUUCUAACUGCUAUAUUAAAAUGGCCGAAUUUUGCCGCAACGUGAAGUGGAGUAUCACCUUUGCCAUUAACUUGUGUUUGUAGUGAUGGGCAUAUCUCAAGUAUUUCCCCUACGAACUUGAUUGACGCAUUUUCUGUUCAUUGGCAUAUGAUGUUGCUAUGCAGGAUCGUGUUCCUGGCCGGUACUGUUAAUAAGCUCUCAAAUAUUUCUCUUGCCAUAUCUUUGUAGGAUUCAGCAUUGCCAUCAGCUGGAAACUCAAGUAAAUUAUCCGUACUCAGUUACUCUUCAAAGUAGAAGCAUGACCGAUUAAGUUACCUGGAGAACUGAAAAUAAAAAAUAAAAAAAGGUAGAUAUUCUUUCCGGUUAGGUUUCAAAUAAAGCAGAGAAAAUAAUUGAAGUUAAGUUAAAAAAAAAANNNNNNNNNNNNNGAGAAUACUCAGACGAAUUCAAGUUGGUCAAGAAAGCCAAGUCGAGUAGUAAAUUGAGUCAAACAAUAAGUCGAGUAUUCAUAUAAUGCUCCUGGUGGACAAGAAAUCCUGUAAGCUGGAUUUAGAUCCAGUACUGAGCUUAGCUGUGCUCAUCUCUUCGUAAACAUCUACCACACAUGCAUGGAUAACAAUUUAAGAUGAAUAUUUAAUUAAUUUUAUAUUCUUAUCUUUCUAAAAGAUUAACAAAAACCUCAGCUCAGCGCUGAAUACAAAUUCCUGUAAACUAGGAACAUAAAACUCGAUGAUCACAUGAAAAGCUUAAAUUCAAAUUCAAUUGUAUUCAUGAUAUGAUUAUUUCAAACAACCAAAAAUACUUAAAACAAAAACCCAAUUGUGAAACUAAAAAAAAACCCAAUUCUCAUAUUCUCCGAAGAAAACACUAAAUUAAUUAAUUAAUUUUAAAAAAGGAAACAAACCUAAAUUCAGGUACCAGGCAAAAAGAUUGGGGAAGAAAAAAGAAUAGGAAAGGAAAUGAACCUUGGGAGUCCAAAGCGUGUCGCUUGAAGCAACGCCGUUCCAAGCACGGGAUACAAGGAGAGUCGGUGCUACGCUGCGUGCCUUUAGGUUUUGAAGUAUCUUCAACAUUAUGUCUCCACCAAAAGCCUCCAGUGGAUCCUGCAAUAAUUCUUCAGUUUCUUCUUCUUUGAGUUGUUCUUUUCUUUCCUCUCGAUUUCUCUUCUUUCACAGUUUCAUCUUCGUCUUCUUCUUCUUCAGUAAAACGACAUCGUUUUCCUGUUCUUCUAUUUCUCGCAGUUCCAUUCUGCGUGGUAGUAGCUAUUACUACAGAGCAAGCGAAUGAAAGGAAUCACCCGAAGCCGCAAUUGCAAUAACUCCAAAAAACAUCAAAAUAUAAAAAUAAGUUAAUGCUAAAAUGCCCAUAUUUAAUUUUUAAAAAAAAUUAUUUACUGUAUGUAGAAAUAUACAAUCGAUAAAUUUACUAUUUUUUAAAUAUAAUAAAUUUUACGUGGCUCAAACUCAUUCUCUUGUAGAUAUUAUUGAACUACAAGCCUUUAAGUUAAAAUGCUAAUACUUUUGAAUUAUUAUUUUACUCGAUUUUUUUAUAUCACUUGAUUUAUUAUUCAACUUUGUUAUGAAGAUUGGGGUCCAACUGUGUUACUACGGUCGUAACAUACCACAUUCUUUUGUCUUUUCCUAAUCCACCGUUAGAUUUAAUUCAGACCAAGGGUAAUGGCUAAGAUGUUUUUGUUGGGUUAUUAAUGUUAUACUCCCUAAUGUUUGCUACAAAAUUACAAAAGUAACAAAGUUUAAAAUAUUAACACAUAAGUCCAUAAAUUUACAAUUUAUUAUUCAAUAAUAUUAAAACAUUUUAAUUAUAUUAUUAAAUAUUAUAUAAAAAAUUAUAACAUAAUAUAAUAUUAUUUAAUUAUAUUAUAAUAAUUAAUAAAUAAAAUUGAUUAUUAUUUAAAAAUUUAAUAUAACUAACAAUAAAUACUUAAAUAAUAUAUAAAGAUCUGCUGUACGGCCAAAAUAAAAUUGAUUAUUAUUUAAAAAUUUAGUAUAACUAACAAUAAAUACUUAAAUAAUAUAUAAAGAUAAAAAUAUAAUAUAAUACUACAUUAUUUAAUUAUAUUAUAAAAAUUAGUAUAUAAAAAUUAAAUAUUUUUAAAUAUUUAAUAUAAAAAUAAUAAAUUAUUAAAUAUUAAUAAAUUUGAAUAAUAUUAAAUUAAAAUUAAUAGCAAUCUAAAUAAUGAUAUAAAUAUUACAAUUUAAUACACAUUAAUGACACACACUGUAAUAUAAUGCAUCUAAUGCAAUACAAUAUAUUGUGUCAAAUGACCCAGUUAAUUUCACUAAUAAAUUAAUUUAUUCUUAUAUUUGAAUUAAUAUGUUUAAAUUAAUAUUCUUUCUUAUUAAUUAAUUAGUUUAAUAUAUAGUAAAACCAUGUAUUAGUUACAAACAAUAUUUUAUGAUAAAUAUGAGUAUGAAUUUGAUCUCUUGUUCUUAAUUUGUAGUUAAUAUUUUUUUCAUAAUACUUAUUCAAUAUAUAGUAAAUAAUUUCAAUAUGCAAUAAAAAUAUAUUAAUCUACCAAUUAAUAAUUUUUUAUUGUUUAAUAAGAAGGUAUCAAAAAGUGUGAGGGAGGGUGGCAACUUUCUUGUCGUUUAUUCUUACAUCUACGAGCUUGAUAAAUAAGUUUAGAAUCUUUUAAAAGAAUUUGAAGGCAAAGUCAUUUUAUACUCCACAUGUAUUUGAGAACCUUUUUUCACAUCUCAUGGUCGAUAAUUUUGAGUUAGUGAUAAAAUUUAGUUGCUAAUUGCUAGAGAUAUGGAAUUGAAACUAGUGGGCAUGUAAAUAAUUCAAUCAUUUUUUAUAUCAUUUUAAUUAAUUAAUUUAGUAAAAAUAUAAAAUUAGUUUUAUCAAGGAUAUAUUUGACAUUUAAGUAGGUGUAUGGAGUAAAUUUUCUUUUUAAAACUUUGAUGAUGGUGUGUGAAUUAAUAAUUAAAAAAUACCCUCACAUUUUGAUUUAAGUUUCAAAAAAUCAAAACAAGUAGGACUAAUGAGUCAAAAUUUAAGAUUAUCGGAUUUUUUGUCUAAUUUUAGCAUAAAAUAGGGAUUCUAGUGUAAUUAAUCUAAAAGGACAAAAAAGUGCGGUAUGUUAUCUCUGUGGUAACAUAGUAGUAUCCCUGAAGAUUGAUAAUAAAGUUGAGAAUAUUUUUUUUUAUUUAGGAUAUUUUGGCCUUUUUAGAGUAUGAUUAUGUAAUAUGAGACAGUCGGGGUGUUAUUGAUCUUUUAAAAGAAAUAAAUAUAUAUUUUAUUAAAAAAAUUGUGGUGGGAGAUCACGUGGUUCAGGUACUGCUCUGUAAUGAUGAUAGUUAAUAAUAGUCCGAUAAUGCAUUCUUGCCACGCCGAGCUCCAAAACAAAAUCAUCCUUCAAUUGAAGGACGAAAAUCGGGCGUUUGGGCUCUGACUCAAAUAUGUGGCAAGAUGCUGAGUGAUUGCUUGGAAAAACAGCAAGUCGAUGACUUUGUUGUUUAUAGAGUCUGAAACGUAGCAAAUGGGGAGCAUCCACGCGUUGCAGGAGAGAGGAAAAGUUAGCUGAUACAAGAUCAAUUUGUACUGAGCUGUUACAUACAGUCUGUAACGUAGCUUGUCUGCUCCAAAUAACAUCAAAAUAUUAAAAAGUACGUUAAUACUAUAAUGCCCCUAUUUAAUUUUUAUAAAAAACUGUUUACAAUAACCAAAAAAUAUACUAUCUGAAAUUUGAAAAAUUCUAUGAUACUAUGAUUAAAAUUACGACAUUAUUAUCAUGAUAAAUAUAAGUUUUGUAAAUUACAUAUAAAAUUAUUAAAUAAAAGAUAAAAUUAGUAUAUUAAUAUAUAAGUGGUAAAUUAGUGUUUUCAAAUUACAAACAAAACAAACACUUAUAAAAUAACAUAAAACUUUGAAAUCAAUAUUAAUCUUUCAUUAAAUAAAAUUAGCUUAUUUAUUUAACUUAAUUAAAUAAAGAACAAAGUGAGUCAUCAAUUAAAAAAAAUUGUAUUGAAAACAAUUAGAAUAAGUUUUAUUGAAUUGAUUUAACUAUAAAUUCUAGAUUCAUUCUAUGACAUUCAUUAUUUUUUUUUAUUUUUUAUCAUAGUAUUGUUUACUACAGAGGUUAAUUAAACAAAUUAUUUUUCUUGAAUGCAUUAAGUCAAAACAAAAUAAAAAGAUAUAUAUAUAUAUAUAUUAUCAAUAAAAUUGUAUCUAAUUUUAUGUUUUAUAUAUAUUUUAUGUAAUUUUAAACUUUGCUUCUUACUUGUAUUUAAAGAUCAUUUGUGGUUGCUAUCAAGAAGAUUUAAAAUGAUGAAAAAUCACCUUAUCCUACGAGCAACUUUGAAAAAUAUGAAAAAGAAUAGUUUUUCAAAAUCCAAUUUUAAAAAUAAGUUUUAUCCUUAAUAAAAUUUCACUUAUAUCAUCAUAUGUAUUACAUAAACCCAAAACUAUCAUUAUUCCAUUUAGAAAAAAUAAAUCAAUAAAAAGUAAUCAUUAUUAUAAUGAGGUUGUAUAUUACAUUUUUAAAUUUUUUUAAUAAUUCUUAUAUUAAUUUACAUGUUUUACCUUACAUUUACAAGUCCUAUAUUUUAUUUAUAUAAUUUAUUUUUUAUCUUACACUUAAUGUUGAUUCAUAAGUUUUAUUUUAUAUUUAUAAGUUUUUAUUUUGUUUACCAAUAACACUCUAAUUUACCACUUAUAUAUUAACUGACUUGUUUUACAUUUCAUUUACAAGUCUUAUAUUUUAUUUACUUAAUUGAUGUUUUAUUUUAAACUUAUUAUUGAUUUACAAGUUUUUAUGUUAUAUUUAUAAGUUUUUGUUUUGUUUACCAUUGAUACACUAAUUUACCACUCAUAUAUUAAUUUUCUUAUUUUACCUUCCAUUUAUAAGUCUUAUAUUCUAUUUACAUAAUCUAUAUUUUAUUUUACAAUUAAUUUUUAUUUUUAUUUUUUAUUUAAAUUUAUAUGUCUUAUGUUUAUUUACAUAAUUUAACGUUUAAAUAUGGUAUCGAUGCUGUGAUUUUAAUCACGGCAUUAUAGAAAGACCUAAUUAGCUAAAAUUCUCGAUAUAGAUACUCGUAGUACAUUCUAAAGGUCGACUAAACAUUAAGUUCGAAAAUUUAUUCCAUUAAUACGUGGGGAGAAAUCUACUGUUAUUUAAAUAGAAUAAAUUUUAUAAGACUUAAACUCAUUCUUUCACAAGCACUAUUGAGUUAUAAGCCUACAAACCAAAAUUCGAUUUAUUAUUCAACUUUGUUAUGAAAAUUGAAAAUAAAGUAGAGAAUUUUUUUAUUUAGAAUAUUUUUACCUUUUUAGAGUAUAAUUAUGUAAAAUGAGUUAGUAGGGGGGUGAUAUUGGUAGUAUACUAGUAUGAAAGGAAUUGAAUAAAUUUUUUUCAAAAAAAGGAAAUCCGGAGCCGCAGGCAGGUCACGUGGUUCAGUUGUGCUAAGUGCUCAGUGGUGAUGACUGAUGAUAUCAUUAACUAGUUUUUUACGAAAGAAAUCGAGCCCAUACUGAUCUGAUAACACUUUCUUGCCACGUCGAGCUCCCAAAAGAAAUCACCAUUUAAUUGAUGAACCACAGACGGCCAGUUGGGUUCUGUUUCAUAUACGUGGCAGAAUCCUAAGUAAUUGCUUGGAAUAAUUAACAUAUGGAAUUAUAGAUUUCUGCACGAGCAGUUAAAUGGCAAGUUGUUGACUUGGUUGUUCAUAUUUAGAGGUGGCAAAAUCGGUGAGCGGAUUAUUAUUAAUUUAAAUCGGUUUAAACAUGAUUUAUUUAAUAAUUACGUUAAAAUAUUAAAUAUGAAAUAAAAAUAAAAAUAAAUGAGUGACAUGACAUCAUCCAUUAAAUAAUUGGACAAUCGUGUCACGAUAUCUAAUAACCUGCUUAAUACUUAUUUACACAACAUAUAUCAAAGAUUUCACACUUAUUUGACAAAAAUUCAAUUUUUAUAUAUUGAUAUUAUGAAAAUAUAUAAGUCUACUAAAAUAUUACAUAUUUAUACUACUCAUGUUGUAAUUCCAUUUAUAAUUUCAUAAAAUAAAAUACCAUAUAAAUGUUCAUCCUUCACAAAAUCAUUAUUUAAUUAACUGGGUAAAUGGUUCAAGAAUUUAAACCUAACCCAAUAGAGAAAAAAAUUAUGUUGACAUAUUUAAUAAUUAUGUUAAAUUUAAUGAUUCAAACCUAUUUUUUCAUAAUAUGUGUUUAUGUCUGUUCAGUAUAUUUCAUCAAAUUUUGUCAGUUCAAUUUAUAAUAUAUUAGAUAUUUAAAUAAGAUUUUCUUCCGAAAAAAAAAAUUAAAGUUCAGGCGUUUGUUUCAUACGUGUUCAUGUAAACCCCCGGCCGAUGCAACGUAGCUGGACUCGUCAUGUAAAUAUAUACCACCAAAUCUUUUUUUUUUUUCCUUUCUGAUACAAAGCAUUACUUUCGUUAAUUCAACGAGUGAAUACAAAUGUGCUCGGUUUUUUUUUUUUUUUUGGACAAAGGAAAUAUAAUUUCAUUCCAACAUAAUAUAAUAAUACAACAGCUAAUCCAUAACAAAUUGAAGAUCAAUCUAUAGAUAAUAUGUUAUAAUAAAUAAUUGAGCCUUGAGGAUCAAUCUAUAGAUAGUCUGUUACAAUAAAUAACGGAACAAACCAUUUACUUUCACAGUUCAUGUUGACGAAGAGGGAGAACACAACGCACCUCAAACACAAUUAAGAUGCAUAUCCACAAUACAUCAUGCAUCCAACAUGCUUGAGCUCUACCCAGAACAUCCCUAAUACUAUGUCUAAAUCAGGUUGUAUGCAUACUUUCAAGUUUAUGUCCGGAAAAUAUGCCCAUUCUGUUUUCUUUCGUUUCAUUUAUCCAUAGAUCUAGGUUUGUGGAUUUUUUGUUCCAACCUAUAUGGUGGCUGUGUUCCCACGCUCUAUGGUGGCUUGUGUUUGUGUUGCUGUGUUGGUUGUCUUUCAGAUUUCAUGUCUACAAGGAUCAGAUUUGAUAAAUAAGAGAACGUAAAAGAUUUUCUAUAGUUGAUCUGUUACAUUGCUGGUUGUAUUUUGAACCUAAAUUUAAUGUUUUUAAUUAGUCUUACGGGAGCAAAUUUAUAAUUGAACUAGCAAGAAUAAAAUUUUCCUGGCGACAUUUGAAUUGAUCGUGUACGACAUUAAAAGACUGUAUCAUUACAUGAUUCUUUAGUAUACUGAUACUAUUCGCACCACAUCAAAAUACGAAAUCAAUGAUUGUUUAUCUGUUGACUGCAAUGGAUUAUUUGUACAUUAAUCCAAAUGUUUGUGUAAUUGUCCGUGAUAGACUCACUAUUAUUUUCUUAUACGUUAAAUGGAUUAAAAGUGAGGGUUUUGUGUGUGUGUGUGUUCAUAUUUCAGCAAUAAAGGUUCUUGUUCUGUCGGUGUAAUUGGAUGGAUGGUUUUGCUUCAGUGUUCUGUCUCUCUCUUUCGUUUAUAGUUUUCACCAAUUAAUUGAGAGAAAACAAAUAUUGUUUGCUAAACGGUUGAGUAAAUCAACUAUAUAUAACUAGGAUCUGUUAAGUUACUUGGGUAUUAACGACUAAUUAUGUUUUUAAUUACUUUUGUUUAUUAAUAACUUUUAACAAAAAAAUCUAAUUGCAUUGAUAAUUUGAGUAAAUGUCAAAUAUUUUCUUUACAUUCAUAAGUGAAAAACUUUUAACAAAAAAUCUAAAUUUUCUCACUUUAAACUUUUAUCCCUCUAAAAAUUUUAUGACUAACCUGAUCGUUGAAGGGUUUACGCCACUAAAGUCGGCCCCACUAAAGCCGGCCCUUUGACUGUUUUUCUUAUGUUUAUAGCGCAUUAUCUAAUUAAGGUUAUCCCGUCACCUAAGGAAUAUAUACCUCUUACUCUUAAGAAAAAAUUCAAAUGAGUGUAAUUGAACUUCGAAAAUAAAAGGCACAACAUGAGAAGCCCACAUCAAGAGUUCAACAAAGUUUGAUCUAAUAAAGAGAAAGUUCAUGAAAUUACCAUUUAAUAAAUUGGGACAAAAUUUUUACGAGUAAAUUGGCGUCGUUUAUGAGGACUUCUAACUAAAAGUCUUGGAACUCUACUGAGAGCAUGGAUGUGAGCUAUGAGCAUUAUGACCUUGUGUUCGAAUACGGUGAGUUCUAGGGUUGAGGAAGCCCAUUCUCAAGGAAGAAGACCAUUGAUGGAUUCAUCAUUUGAUGGCCAGCUACAUGGGCAAGCUUGAUUCCAAAGUAAAGUGGAUUGAUUAGCUUAGAACUUUGAUAGAAUGUUUUAUCAAUUCCAAGCUCAAGUUGAGGAAAGGGAGGACUCAAGCGAUCCUAGUGACGAUGAAGUUGUGAUGAUGAACUUGAUUCGGGCUCCUCUAGAGCAAGGUACAUGGAAGGCUUGGAAGAAAGUGACCUUAGACACAAAGAUCUUGGAGGAUAGGGGCUAGAGAAGUCUUUCUCUCUCUAGGCUUUAUCUCUUUAAAUUUUAUUUUUUUAAAAGUCCAGUGAUUGGCCUGAUCGUUAAAGGGUAUACGUCAUUAAAACUAACUAUUUGAUUGUUUAGGUUAUGUUUGUAGGCAUUGUCUUAUCAAGAUCAUUCUCAUCACUAUUUUUUUUAAUUAGCUAUUAAAAAGUUGAAAGUUUUAUUUUAAUUUUAAUUUUAAGUUGGUGUCAGGCGUAUACUAAAAACAUCUUAAAACAAAAAAAAAAUACUAUCAAUAUGAUUUUAGCGUAAGAAUAUUUUAAAAAAUUCUACAAAAAUAUUAUCAUUUUAUCCCCAUCCAUGAAAACAAAGAAUCCACCGAAUGCAUUUAACAAUGAAAUUUUUAUAUUUAAUUUCUUCCAAAAUUGCAAAAUUAUUUGUUCACCAACUCUCUUUUUUAAUUAAGAUUUGCUUAAAUUUAUAUAAAUUUAGGACAUAAAGAUUGCCUUUAAAGAGGGGAAAAAAAGGAAAGAAAGAAAAUACGGUGACCAAUAAACCGUUUAUGAAUAGUAUGUUUAUUUUAUGAAAAGGAAGCAAUUUAUUUUUAGCGAUUUCUUACAUAUAUAUCUUUUGAUGAAGCCAAACACAUGAAAGAAUAAUCUCAACACAAUUAAACAAGUGACAGUGGGCAUGCCUAAAAAAGGAGCUAACAUAACACUUAUUAGUUCUGAUGGUUGCAAAUUUGCAACAUCCGAUAAGGAGUAGCCUCCUUUAAACUUAAGUCUAGAGUUCGAGCCUUGCUAAAAAGAUGGAGUAUAUCUUUUUCCAGUGACGAUUUCUUAACCCAUGAUUUUCUUUUUCACUGAAAUAUCUUCUGAUGACCAAAAACGCAAAGAAGAAAUAGCUCUAAGCCAAUUAAACAAGUAAUAAUGGCAAGGCCUAAAGAAGGUGCUGACAUUGCAUAUGUGCCCAUAACGAAUGCAAUCACCAUUGCUCCCAUGGAAAUGAUGGCGAACCAAAUGGAAGCAGCGAACAAAUCAUCAUCGAAUUUUUUGAUUACUUCAAGCUCAAGAGAUACUAUAAAGUGAAUAAAGAAGGCAGAAAGAGAAAGGAUCAUGGCAAUGGUAUCUGUUACCAUAAAUGCCUGAAAAGCUGUAUUUCCCCUCAGGAUUGCAGCGCCAUUUUCGCUUUUUUAACCACCAGUAAUAAUGAAAGAUGUUGCGAAGGCCUGUUGCUACGAGUGCAGCCACUACCAGAUGUGACGCUCUAGUAUCCUUGAAAUCAUCUUUAGGAUAAAUAGGCUCUUGCAAUACAUGUGGUUCUCUUAUGGAUACGAGUAUUGUCCUGUGCCAAAAUCUUUGGAUAAUUUUUGAAUUUCUUCCCGCAAUUUACAUUUGAAUAUUAAUUAAUAAAUUAAUAUACAAUUUGAAACCAAAUAAUAAUGUUUGGGGGAAAAACAGAAAAAGUAGCAGAACACCACGUGUCGAUGAACAGAAUAACUCCGGUAUAAUCUGAGGUACCCGGCAUAAUUCGAGGUACCCCACUUAAUUCGAGGUACCUCUCAUAACUCGAGAGUAACUCAAGGUACCCCGCUUAAUUCGAGAGUAACUCAAGGUACCCUGCAUAAUUCGAGGUACCCCACAUAACUCGAGAGUAACUCGAGUUACCCGGAAUAACUCCAGCAUAAUUCGAGGUACUCGGAAUAACUCCAACAUAAUUCGAGGUACCCGGAAUAACUUGAGGUACCAUGCAUAACUCCAGAGUAACUCGAGGUACCCUGCAUAAAUCGGGGUACCCCGAAUAACUCGAGGUACCCAACAGAUCAGAUGCAGAAGAACCCUCUGAAAAAGUCCGCCAUAAGAAAUGUUUCCACAUAAUUCGAGGUACCCGGAAUAACUCGAGGUACCAUGCAUAACUCCAGAGUAACUCGAGGUACCCCGCAUAAAUCGGGGUACCCCAUAUAACUCGAGGUACCCAACAGAUCAUAUGCAGAAAAACUCUCUGAAAAAGUUUGCCACAAGAAAUGUAUUCACCUCUUAAAGGAUAAUGUUUGAUUUUGUCAGAAUUAGAUAUCAAAAUGUCAUACUGAAAAGUAGCGACAGCCGCCUGCUACCUCUGCCAAAAGUGAAGGACAAUGUCCCAAGGACAGUGGUCCUCAGCCGCCUACCAGACAACCACUGCAGAGGUACCCUAGACCACUCUCCAGCGCGCGCCACGUUUCCAAAGGAUAAGAUACGCCGCGAAUGCCUUCUUGAUUCCCAAACAUGCACAUAACAGCCCAAAAAUGAUAAAAAUGUAAAAAGACGUGAAAGACCUGAAAAUGGAUAGCCCAUAGCCAAAAAGAAUAUGCCACGUGGCAACUGAGGUACUCCAUAAAUAAACGUGUCUAGGUUUUAUUCUCCAUAAAGUUCUCAUUCACUCACACUCCACAAAAUAAGUUUUCUUCAACCUUAAACCUUGAUUUAUAGAGGGCUGGCAAGCUCUCUUUACUAUUAAAAAGCUUGAGUUUUCUAACUUGAGCGUCGGAGUGUGAACGCCGGGAGUACCCCGGCUUCACCUCAAAUCUCUAUUUCACUGUUUUGCAUUGGUGAAGCUCGUUUCGAAGACCAUUUUUCUUGGUUUAAACCUUUCAUCAUUGUUACCUUCAGAAGCACUACACACAAAAGCUUGAGUUUGCUAACUUUUGAAUUCAGAAGCAUCACACACAACAAACUAGCGAGGUACCUCGUUUCCCUUAAAAAUAUAAAUUCAUUGUUCUAGAUAGAUUUGCCUUUUCCUACCCCCAAAAUCUGUCGAAAACAAAUAAUAAUAAUAAUAAUAAUAAUAAUAAUAAUUGCCUUGAACUUAGGAUAACAAUAGUCCAACAUUUUGCAACGCUAACAUUUUGCUUGUUGAUGGCCUCAUAGUGGCCUUUACUCUUCCAGAUAAAUCGUCAAAGAUUUCUUUUCGAUGAACAGCAGCAAAAAAAUGGACAGUAGUGUUCCCCUUGGCAUCCCCCUCAUCCAUAAGACUACUUGCUAACAUAUUAUCUACAAGAUUUCUUAAUUCUUCAACUUCAAACCUAAACCCAGCAUAAUGAAGAAAAUUUCAUCCCCAGUUAUCGACCAGUUCAUAACAUUCUGGAUUUCUAGAAAUAAUUGCUUCAACUACUCUGGCAUCCCUUCGGCCCGUGUACCAAAUGAAGAGCUGUCAUCUUUCGAUCUUUGUCAGCAAUCUUUGCUGCAGUUCGAUCAAUCUUUAAUAUUAGCUUAAGUAUCAAGUAAUUUCGAUGAUACGCAGCGUAAUGAAUUGGAGUCCACCAACACUGGUCUAUUCCUUUGAUCAUACUCUUCUUUCCUUCAAAUAACUGUUGAACCGCACAAUCAUUCUCUUUUGAGAGUAUUAAGACAAAAGAUGAAUAAAAUUAUAGCUCAAAUUAAAUUUUUAACAUCCAACCUCAAAUUUAAACUCCAGUGUCCAACUAGAUAUAAUUCCCCUGUGCCAACAGCAAACUUAAUUAAAACAACACUCCAAGAUUACUAGAAACAGAAUGAGCAAAGUUCUUGUAGAAAAAAGAUAUCAAUAUUGAAAUUCCUACUGAAAGGGUAUGAUUAAACUUACAUAAAUCAAUGUGCAUUGUUGCAGCAUGUAAAGCCUGUCUUUCCAUUGGGGCCUUCAUAUAUAUAUGGGACACGGAUGUGCAGCUUUUCAAAAUGGCAACCACCGUAUGAGAAGAGUGCUCAUACUCGGCAGCCAUGCAAAGUGGUAUUUUGUUGUACUUAUUUGCAUAAUAUGGAUAAUUAGGGUCGUCUCACGUCAAUAUUUUCACCACAUCGUCAUUUUAAUGAAAUACUGCCUCGUGAAGAGUUGUAUGCUUCUCUUUAUUCGUCAUCCUAAUCAUCUGCCUGGAGGCUCCUACCCCACUUUCGAGCUCUUCAUCUUCGUGUUGAACUAAUUUUGCUCUUUCAAUAAGAACACUCACUAUAUCACAAUGGUCGAAUUUUGCCGCAACGUGACGUGAUCGAGUAUCGCCUUUGGCAGUAACUUGCAGUAGCAGCCAUGGGCAUAUCUAAACUAUUUCUCCUACAAACCUGGUUGACACAUUUUCUGUCUUCUGCAAUUUGAUGUUGAUAUGCAGGAUUGUGUUCUUGAUCUUGCUGUUAACAGGCUCUCAAUUACCUCUCUUGCCAUAUCUUUGAAGGGCUCCAAAUUGCCCGCAGCUGCAACUUUGAACAAAUUUGGGUCUAUUUGUGGCUGACUGGUCUCACCAUUGUUGUCCAAUAAUGAAGCUUCCUCAAUCUCAAUGGAAACAGAAUUCAUGUCGGCGAAGUUGAUCUAUUAGGCAAGGGUGAAUAGUAUCUCGGAUGCACACAACACUUAAUUUUGAAGUGAAGAAAAAGAGAAGCCAUAAUUCUAUAAAUAGGACAAGUAGUAUAAUUUUGCUUUGGACCUUUUUUUUUUUUCUUCCUUUUGAAGAUAGGGGAUUUACAACCACUCCUUUGGAAAUUUCUGAUGAACAAAAGAUCAAUAGACUAACAAUCGAGUGAUAUUUUAUUAAUAAUAAUUAUAUUUAUGAUUUUAACAAAUUGAUCAUUUAAAAUAUGAUAAAGAAUACAAAAUUGUAUAAAGGUUUUUUUUUUUAAAUCUCAUUAAUUGAUCAAUUUACUAAGUUCAUCUAUUAGUCAAAAUUAGAAUGAUAAAAAAUCAUUAUAUAAUAAAGAUUCUUAAUUUAUCUGUUAUUGUUUAUAGCAGUUGUAGUACAUAUAUUAAUUAAAAUUUAUUAUGACUGUAAUUUUCAAUAUUUCAAAAAUCCCCCUCUCUAUUUCUUUUCUUUUAUUGUGCGUUUUGGUUAUUUUUUAGGGAGAUAGGCCCCUGAUGCAACUUACAGUUACAGUUGACAUGCCUAGUAACGAGAGAAUCUUGCUCACAAUCAGUAGAGACUAGAGAGUCUAUGGUCAAAAUUCUUUUUUUUUUUAAAGAGUAAUUUGAUUUUUCAACCACUUUCCUUUUUUGUGGUCAACUAGUCAUAACUCACAAGGCUGACAGUCACUAAAUUUAGGGUGCAUUUGGGAUUGAGGUUGGACAACUAUAGCUACAGCAGUAAAGUGUUUGGUAAACACUAGCUGUUGUAACUUGAAAGAUAUGUUAAUAUGAUUUUUCACUUAUAUAAUGGAGAAUCUAUUAUAUCUUUAAUAAUUUUGUCAAAAUUAUUAUUUAAAUUUAUAUGUACUACAUAUUAUUAAUUUUUGUUUCAUAAUUACAACUUUUUUUCACAGCAGUUGUAGCUUAAAAGUUACAAUAUCUCAAUCCAAACACACCCCAAAGUGGCUUCUUCACAACCGGCAACUAUCCACUUACCAUUGGUUGAAUGCGGGAGUGGAGUCGUGUCUUUUGAAAGUUAAAAUAAAGUUAGAAGGAAACAAAUUCUCAAUGUGGGUUCUUAGAUCAAUUUUAGGACAACCACAUGAUUUUGCUGAUGGAAUGAAUGUCAUUAACGUGCUUAUUGUUGGGAUUUAGAAAAAAAAUAAUCUGUUUAUUUUUGGGAUUUAAAAAAAAUGAGGAAUGAGCAUUAUUAAUAAUAUUUAAUUGCUAAAAAUACAAAGAAAUAUAAAUAAAUUUUGAUUGAGUCUCAUAAAUUUAGGAAUGAGAAAGAAUUUCAUUUAAUUAGAUGGAAGAGGCAGGAAUAAGAAUGGAGAAAUGAGAAUAAAGAGUAAAAAUCGUUUAUCUUUAUUAAAAAUUAAAACUUUCUUUUUACUCCAUUUUGGUAACUUACAAUCAUCUAUUCUAAUUUUAAAAACAAAGUAAACACAUCAAGUUUGGAAUAUUGUUGAUUUCGAUCUCAUUCUUGUAGUUGAAGUAGACAAUUUAUUCUUCUACAUUUUGAUUCCAAUUCAUUAUAAUUCUUGUCGAUUAGUAUUCAUUGUUAAUAAACACACUAUUAGUAUAUUUUCAAAGAGACUAUAUUUUUUAGUUUCAUUCUAAUUCAUCUCAAAUCUCUCUCAUAUUGAAUACUUUGUGGAAAUUUAUUAAAGAUAUUUCAAAAAGAAUUUAUCGACAAAUCUAGCUGCCAUCUAUAUAAAUAUAUUAGUUUUUUUUUCUAAUUAGUGCUUCUUAAAAAGAAUCUAGCUCAGCCAACCCAAAUCAAUUUUUUUCUCCCUCAGCCUCUCAUAGGAUUUGAAUUCGGGUAAUUAAUAAAAUAAAAUUAUUUAAAAAUCACUCGCCUAAGUCUUUGAGGUAGUUUAAUCUUAGAUAAACAUUAAGGACUUAGUUAUCAAUUAUCCUAUUAAAAUUAGUAUGUUUGAGCAUAUGGCUAAGGUAAGCCAAAUCAAGUACAGUUGACGUUAUAUGUGAUAGAUUAAAUGGUUUAUAGAAGUGAGUCCUCUGCGAUAUAUAUCAUACAACCUAAUGCAUUUGAAUUUGUGAAUAUUGAAUUUGAAAGUAUAUAUUUGGUAGUCUAUUUUAGAGUAAUUAAUUUUAAUUAAAAAUAACUGUUGUAGUAUUAUCUCAAAACGUCACCUAAAUUGUAAAUUUAAUUGAUAAAAUCUCACGACUAAGGUCAAGAGGUUUAGAGACUUUACCUAAAAGUAUAAUGGUAAGUAUUGGCAUUUUGCCUUUGCCCGCUUUAUCAUGGUCAAAAAUCGCCUUUUGGGCCAUGGAGUGGCUCAUGUGCUUGUUUUGCACAAUCUUUAGGAAUCCAAAGUCGAUUUUGUUUUUGGUUCACAUAUAUUUCCAUGGAAUUCAGCAGAGAGCAGAUAAUUAAGCUAAUUCGGAGUUGGGAUUCCUUUCUGUUCAGUGGUGGGACCAAAAAGGGAGGGAGAAUGGGCUGAGCUUGGACAAGCCCAGGCUCAAGUCUGAGCUCAUAAAAGCCCUUCCACGUUUGGAGGGGCUGAACAGAACCUGGCCCAUCAUGUGCCUGAGCUUCCAAAGUCUCAACCAUUUCAUUUAUUAGUUUUCGAUGGUUGUUGCAAUAAUUCCUUCAAAGUAACGUCCCCCCCUUUUGGUCUUUCUCGGUCUUAAUUCAACUCAUUUGGUGAUACAGGAUUUGACUUUAAAAUGAUAUGUCAUUAUCUCUAUUGAAUGGUAAAAUUUUUAUUUACUUAUACAAGUAAUCAUGUUCUUAGCUCAUUAGUACAACUUUUGAAUCCCAAUUAUUAUUGGACUCGAUUUCUCUUCCAAUUAAGUUGGAUAGGAGUAGAUUUCUCCUCCAUUAAUAUGAGUAGAGCAAAUAUCACUAUGGUACUUUGUGAUAAUAGAAAUUCAAACUGUGUCAUACUAGACUUAUCAAGAAUAGUUUUGAUAAAUUUUUUAUUGUAAAUAUUACUAAAAUUCUGAUGGCAAUAUGUUAACCUAUUAAAAAAAACCAAAAAAAUAAAAAGUAAAAAAUACUAUACCACCCUUAAACAUGCAUCAUGGAUUUUCUUUACUCAUGUCUAAUUGAAGAUUUAUCAUGACGCACUAUAUAAAGAGAUAAUUUUUUUCAUUUUUUUUUUUGUUGACAAAGUAAUCAAGGUUUUAUUCCAUCAAUAUAAGAAAGUACGAACAAUUUAAAAUAUUAAAUUUGAUUUUGAUUCCUCUCACCAGUUCAAUCUAAUCAUUGACAACAAAAUAGACCGGUCUGCAUCUCAAAUUUGAUUUUUAUUAAAACAUCAGUGAUUAAUGUACAAUUAAAAUAAUUAUUGAUUAUUAGCAAAGAUUGAGUAAAUUAAUUAAUGUUUAUGUUAAAUGAAAAUAAAUCAUUUUAUUGAUAAACAAUGAUAGUGACUUACUACAAUCCCAUGAUCCAAAUCACAAGCAAGAAGAAGCUCAAGCCAAUUAAACAAGUGAUAAUAGCAAGGCCUAAAGAAGGUACUAACAUUGCAUACGUUCCCGUAACGAAUGCAAUCACCAUUGCUCCCAUAGAAAAUAAGGUGAGCCAAAGGGAAGCACCAAACAGAGCCCCAUCGAAAUCUUUAGUUGCUUCAAUUUUAAGAGACAUCAAGAAGUGAGUAAAGACGGCAGAAAGAGAAAAGACCAUAGCAAUGGAAUCUGCUACUAUAAAUGCUUGAAAAGCUUUAUUUCUCCUCAGGAUUGCAGUUCCAUUUUCGCUUCUAUAACCGCCAGGAAUGGUGAAAGCUGCUGCGAAGGCUACCGUUGCUAUGAGUGCAGCCACUACCAAAUGUGAUUCUCUUGUAUCCUUGUAAUCAUCUUUGGUAUCAUCAUUUUGCCNNNNNNNNNNNNNNNNNNNNNNNNNNNNNNNNNNNNNNNNNNNNNNNNNNNNNNNNNNNNNNNNNNNNNNNNNNNNNNNNNNNNNNNNNNNNNNNNNNNNNNNNNNNNNNNNNNNNNNNNNNNNNNNNNNNNNNNNNNNNNNNNNNNNNNNNNNNNNNNNNNNNNNNNNNNNNNNNNNNNNNNNNNNNNNNNNNNNNNNNNNNNNNNNNNNNNNNNNNNNNNNNNNNNNNNNNNNNNNNNNNNNNNNNNNNNNNNNNNNNNNNNNNNNNNNNNNNNNNNNNNNNNNNNNNNNNNNNNNNNNNNNNNNNNNNNNNNNNNNNNNNNNNNNNNNNNNNNNNNNNNNNNNNNNNNNNNNNNNNNNNNNNNNNNNNNNNNNNNNNNNNNNNNNNNNNNNNNNNNNNNNNNNNNNNNNNNNNNNNNNNNNNNNNNNNNNNNNNNNNNNNNNNNNNNNNNNNNNNNNNNNNNNNNNNNNNNNNNNNNNNNNNNNNNNNNNNNNNNNNNNNNNNNNNNNNNNNNNNNNNNNNNNNNNNNNNNNNNNNNNNNNNNNNNNNNNNNNNNNNNNNNNNNNNNNNNNNNNNNNNNNNNNNNNNNNNNNNNNNNNNNNNNNNNNNNNNNNNNNNNNNNNNNNNNNNNNNNNNNNNNNNNNNNNNNNNNNNNNNNNNNNNNNNNNNNNNNNNNNNNNNNNNNNNNNNNNNNNNNNNNNNNNNNNNNNNNNNNNNNNNNNNNNNNNNNNNNNNNNNNNNNNNNNNNNNNNNNNNNNNNNNNNNNNNNNNNNNNNNNNNNNNNNNNNNNNNNNNNNNNAGAGUAGUUUAUUGUCUUAUGUUAAUAAGAGAAGAUAAAAGGGUUAGGUUAGAAGCCAUAAAAGUGAGUUAAUAUGAAAAAAAUAAAAAUUGAUGGGAUAUUCUCCCAUAAUCUAUUAAUGUAAGUUAUUAGGAAAAAACUAUUUAUUCCGACUUUAACCCCGAAUCCGCGUCCCGAAUAUUGCCAGAAACGGUGUGUUUGCUUUGCUUUUCCUUUUAAUUCCAGUUGUACGGUGCGUUUUGCUCUGGUUGCUUUCCUUUUAAUUCCAGCUGUGCAGCAUGUGAGCAUUCUCUUUGUCCUUCUUUUUGCGCCUGAACUACAACACUCCGCUCAGAACUUCCAAUCUGCAGACUACAAACUGCAAAACCCCAGAGCUUCCAAACUGCAAAAUGCCAUGGUCGUUUAAAAUGUGCAGACCUAACUACUCAAUUACGCAUGGUCUUUCCUCCCCCCGAGAAAGAGAAAUGUUAACUGCUGAAAAUUUGGAACAACAAUUUCUAGAGUUUCAAUUUCCCCCGCAAGCAUUAGUUUUGAUCUUAUUCUUCCUACAUUUAGUGAUUGUUUUUAAAAUCGUGAGCAGUUUGAUUUUAAAUUUAUAAAUCUUGAGCUAUUUCAUUUUAAUUUGUGAGCUAAAUCAUGAGCAUUUGUAAAUUUAUAUAUCAACAUCAAUUAGCUUUAAAUUUUCACAGGUAUAAAAUUGUAAAUUCUUUAGCUCAUUGCUAGAAGAAAUCUUAAUCUUUCAGGCAAACAACAGAAACUUAACAAGAGAUCCUCAAGAAAGUGUAAGUUCGAGAUAAGGUGAUAAAACUCUUCAUCAAUAAACUAUAUCGAAUUCAGCUUCACUUUUAAAAUGUGCAGACUUAACUACUCAAUUAGGCAUGGUCUUUCCUCCCCCCGGAAAGAGAAUUGUUAAUUGCUGAAAACUUAGAACAAUAAUUUCUAGAGUUUCAAUUUCCUCAACAAAUAAUCUAAUUCAUAUAACCUUGAGUUUGACAGCCCUUGAGACACACAAAUGCUUCAAGUCCCAACAAUCAUAACAAAACAAAUCUUCAAGCAAGGAGCAUUCACCAGUAAGCCAUCAGACCAUCUGAUCAUUUACACACAGUAUACACAGUAUUUUCACUUAUGACUUCAAAACCUAAAUCUUUUACCAUCUUCUCAAUGGCCAAUCCCAAUCCAUUCACCAGUCAUACGAGCUGAUACUUUAACAUCUAGAAGAGUCAGGAAUACUCUCAAUUUCGGCAAAAAAACCUUACGCUUGCAGAACUGAAGCAGGGAAUCGUCUACAUAUUCCAUAAAUUUUUCAUCUUCCUUUAUUGACCAACAAUUUCCACCAUUCAACCCACUUGACCCCCAACGAAGUAAUUCAUUUUGAAAUCCACAAUAAGAAUGGCAUAUGUAACUAAUUCCAUCUCUUUGUGAGUGUCGGCUAUCGCGUGACUGUUGGUGAUGGCAACGGAGAUCUCGAUCACGUGGCGGUGGUCCGUCGUCUGUGCCGGAUGAGUGUGUAUGAAAACAAAAACAAAAUCAGAAAUCCAAAUUGCCUAACUAAUUUGGUAGAUGGAUGUUUUCUGACCGAGUCUCCGUUUGUUCCCAUAAUGGCGGUGAGAAUCCGAUCGAGUCUCGAUGACAGCUCAUUGCUACGACUCGUGACUGUGUCCCUUGAGUCUUUAUUUGAAAAUCCAAAUGCCGACGACGACGGCUGCCUCCACGAACGGUUCUGAAAUCACACCGUGCGUUGAUGACGUGGCGGUGGCGAUUAACAACAGGAACUUCAACUCGGAGGAGAGGUUCAACGACUGUGAUUUUUUGCUGAAGCGGUCGUAUUUGUUCGGAUUCGAGCGGAGUCUUGCGUCGGAGAGGAUGGUGACGGAGGCGGUAACGGCGUCGCCAUGGAGGCACAAGAGGGGGAGUUUCUGGAGCAAACGGCUGUCUCUGUUUGGCUCAUUGACGAAGUCUAGAGCCUUCUGGAGCAAAGGAUUAUAUACGUCCUUUUUGUUUUCCUUUUACUGAGAUUGUAGCUAAAGCCGGUUACCCAUUUUCUAAGUGUUAAACCUCAGCCGUUGAUUACCUUUCUUUACGAUCUAAAGGGUCAUUUGCAAAAGGACAAAUGACUGGGGUACCAAACCUCUGACGCAAUGUAGCUGGACCCUAUUAAAAGAGAUAAAGAAAAAGUCAAUUGAUAAAACGGCAGUAAACACUACAUUGGAGUAUGUGUUUCUUCCUGUCUUUCACUUUAGUCAAGCUUUCUCAUUGGAAAGUUAUUCUAUAUUUCUAUGUCUAUUUGGCGAACCGGCAGCACUUCAUUCUAGACACAUAGAAGCAGGUGUCCUGUACCACCAACCCUGUGGCCAUCAGGAACACUGGAGUAGCAGUAGAGGAUAUUCGACAUUUCCCAGCCCCAGUCCUUCUUCCUAGAGACAAGCAUAUGCGGCCAGCAGCGGUUUAUUCUAACAUAGUGCUCCCUAAUCUUUCCUUCACCAACAACACUGGUAACUAUAGAGUAACAGCAUUCAUGCCCACCCCAUACCUUGUCACCAGGAUCUGCAGUUUGACUCCCAUCUUCAUGAAAGUAACGGUGCAUUAGAGGGCUAGUACCCUUCCAGUAGGGAUCGAGAUUAAGCCAAUACUCUGGUACCACCUGAAGGCAAAAUGGCAUUCAAAGGCAUUCAUCCGAUCAAUUGAUCAUUUCAGUUUCCAACAAAAUAGUAGAAAGCUGCACAGUAAAGUAAAGGACACACAACAAAUGCCUUGGAUGCAUGCUAAGAAAUGUUUGAAUAUAGGAUUACCAGGAUUAUCAUUUACUUGUGACCAGUCCAGGGAAUAGUUACAUGAGUGAGUGCCUGAAUUAUGAGCAAUGCCUUACAAAUAGGCAGAUUAUAAUUCAUGAGUUUCGUUCCUCAUGGUCCGAAAUUUCAUUACCAAGGCUACACAUGAUCAAACUUUUAAAGCGUCAAAACAUUAAUGUUUUAUAUGUUCACAUUUCAAACUCAUGCAAGUUCUAGUAAUUUUGGCAGCACAUCAAGGCCAGACUGAAAUCAAGAGGCGAGUCACCACUCACCAGACCUUACCAAUAAUUCAUAACGUAUAAGAAGCACUGUACUAAAUUACAUACCUCGUUAAAAUGAAACUCCCAAACAUGAUCACAAAGGUCUUCUUUCAUGAUACGAGUCUAAGAAAAUUUAAAAAAAAGAAUAGUUGGUGAUAGCUUGCUCAAACAUGCAUAUGGAGAGUGAGUGAUUCAAAAGAGAGACAGGAGAACAAAGGGAGAUUGAUCAGCACUCACGCGUUUUCCAUCCGUGACAGACAAUGAAUAUGCGGCCAGCUUUCAUAACCCCUGGACUACAGCUGAACGAGGUAUGUGCGCUUCCCCCAACCACAGUUCCUCGCACUAAAAUAGACAGGAAACUCAAGUGAAUUAUCUUUACUCAGUUACUCUUCAAAGUAGAAGCAUGACCCAUUAAGUUACCUGGAGAACUGAAAAAAAUAAAAAUAAAAAUAAAAGGUAGAUAUUCUCUUCCGGGUAGGUUUCAAAUCAAGCAGAGAAAAUAACUGAAGUUAAGUUAAAAAUAUAUUUAUCUUCACAAAUCAUGCAAUCAGAACGAAUAAGCAACUUAGGCCAUAAGGCAGUAAAAACGUGCAUUGGCAUUCACAGUUCAGUUUGGUUUUAUAUAAAAAUAUACCCCAAUCCUUUAAAUAAACCAAUAAUUUACCCAAGGUCUAGUUUCAAUCAUAAGAAAGAGCUUCCUAGGGCCCAGGAUUUUGAAAAAUAAAAUAUACCAACAAUAUACCUCAACUAAGUUACUUUACAUAGAUAUAUCCUUAAGGGGUGAACAAAGACAAAUAGAUACUAGACAAAAAAUAUUCAGCUUAAAUCAAGAAUACUCAGACGAAUUCAAGUUGGUCAAGAAAGCCAAGUCGAGUAGUAAAUUGAGUCAAAAAUAAGUUGAGUAUUCAUAUAAUGCUCCUGGCGGACAAGAAAUCCUGUAAGCUGGAUUUAGAUCCAGUACUGAGCUUGGCUGUGCUCAUCUCUUCAUAAUCAUCUACCACACAUGCAUGGAUAGCAAUUUUAGGUGAAGAUUUAAUUAAUUUUAUAUUCUUAUUGUUGAGAAGUCAAUAUUAGCCCAAAUAAGUCCACACCUAAAUUAAUUUGAUGUCAUUGCUUACAUCAAUUUAGUUAGGUGAAAAUUAGGUAUUUUUCCCAUGUUUAAUUUCAAUGGUUUAAAUUAGUUUGUGGUUAUUUUAAUGAGUGGUUUAGAUUGUUUCUUGUAAUCUAUAAAUACCUCAUUUGUAUUUGAGUUUUAUAAUUCAACAAUCAAAGCUUUAUUAUAAGCAUUUGAAAGUUUUCUUUAGAGUUCUUCUCUUUUGCAAUUUUGUGAGAUUAUUCUAAAGAGAGUUUUUCUUCUUCUUGAUCAAUUAGAGUUUUUACUCUAUUUUG
rnacentral:lncRNA from 1 species